UUGCUUGUAACUUAUCUCACAUAUGCAUGCUCGGUCUUCUUAUAUUUUCGGAAAGGGUAUGUGACUGAUGCUCUUGCUAUAUUAGUUUGUCCUUGGCUAACAUGACAUGGUGAAUAUGUUAGUGUUCCAUGUUUUCGUAUGUGAGGCAUUGGUUCUCCAUUUAACUGUAACUUUUCAAUUUGAUUACCAAAUACUGUUGAGAGAGUUUUAUGACAUAAUUUCUCACAAAUGUAUAUGAGUGGGAUAAGGUUCCUCGUUUUGAAAUUAUAGUAUUGUUGGUGCCCACGAAAGAGAAGAUUGGGGAAGAAAUGGUGGCCUUUAGCCAGUUUUACUGUAGUAAUUUUUAAUAGUAUAUGCAUGGUUUGUUGCAGACGUACGUAGUGAUGGUUAAGUCAAAAACUCCUCUUCAGUUCGUUGCUUUCACUCUUUUUCUUCUGCACUGGCAACCAAUCAAACCCAUCAGAGCUGGCCAUGGAAGUAAUGCCAAAAUAUACAAAGUACAUGAACAAAUUCAUCAUCAUAAUCAAUACCAUAGCUAAUUAGGUUUUUGGUUGCAGUGGAAUUAGAAAUAGGGUAUGAUUAUAGCGAAGGGAGCGGGACAGGUCCAAAGCACUGGGGAGAGCUUAGGAAAGAAUGGAAGGCAUGCAAAGAUGAAAAAUUGCAAUCUCCAAUAAAUUUGUUGGAUGAUCAGGCUAGAAAAGCAGUCUCAAGAGUAUAUGAUCUGAAAAUGAACUAUAAGCCUUCAAAUGCAACAAUGAUGAAUGAAGGUCAUGCUAUUUCGGUAUGGUUGUGCCUACCUAGCUGAUAUUGUUUACAAUCUUUUCUUGGAACUCCUAUAUUAGAUUCAUCCACAGAAAAUUUGUAUAAUAGUUUCAUUAUCACUACCUACGUUCAUACCGGGCCCUUUCAUUCCCUGAAAAUGUGGUUCACCUAACAUUGCUCUUUCUUUUUUCUUUAUUUACUAACUCUUUAUAUUUUCAAUUGUUACAGCUUGAAUGGGAGGGUGAUGCCGGAUCCAUUCAGAUCAAUGGCACCGAUUACUUCCUCAAACAAUGCCAUUGGCAUAGAUCAUCUGAACAUUUCAUUAAUGGCAGACGGUAUAUCUCUCUUCUUUCUUCUCUAUUUGAUUGAAAAACCAAAAAUGCUUCCUCCAAUAUGUAUAAACAGAUCGACUGCGCUUUAUCAGUUACGUUUUGGAAUUGCACAUGGUUCACCGAAGCCGGAAUAACAGAGUAGCUGUAGUAGCAUACCUCUACCAAAUUGGUAAACGCAGUCCUGUUCUCGCAAAGGUGAGUUAGAGAUCGAUAUCUGUACCAAAAAAAAAAACCAAUCAAAUUGGUAAUUUAAUGUGAUAAUACCAUACUUUAGCUUUGUUAGAGGAACAUUAUGAGCUGCAUAUAUAUCAUUGGUCAUUGAAUAAUAGGAAACUAGUGGCAUUAUGUCUGACGUUCUGCCUUUCAGAUGAACAAUAUGUACGUGUCAUCUCUAAGUACUGGUUUAAAGAAGGAAAUAAACUUGGGAGUGGCUAAUCCAAGAACGAUAAUACAGCCAAGCUCACAAUUUUACAGAUAUAUGGGCUCACUCACAACGCCUCCUUGCACAGGAGGAGUUAUUUGGAGCGUAAACAAAAAGGUACAACGACCUCUUCAUCAUCACAAACCAAUCCAAGUUUUGUUUUUCUGAACUCAUGUAAUUAGAUUCACAUCUUCAUCUCAGGUACUUUCUAUUUCGAAAGGACAGCUGAGGUUUCUUGAACGAUAUGGAGUAAGUGACCUAUCAUCUGCAUAUAAAUCUACACAUCUUCAGAACGAACCGCAUUAUAUUAACUUCUUUUGAUCGACUUGAAUGCAGAAUGCAAAGAUGAAUGCUAGACCAUUACAACCUCUUAAUGGUAGGGAUAUCAGUCUCCUUAGUUGGCCCUCCGUGGGGGUCGCAUAACUGGCACUCUGUCCUUUUUCCUGAGUGAUCGAGGAGUGCAUGGUAGACGUUUUUGACUGGUUUUAUUAAUUCCUCCAAAUUUGUUAUCCAAGGAUACAAAUUUACCGACAACCUUUUACAUGCCCACCCCAAUAACCACCAUGCACCUAGAUCAAGUAAAAGGUGGUUGGCAAAUUUAUAUUUGAUUUCAUCCAUUACUUUUGUAAAUAUUUAGGUCUUUUUUUAUUUUAUUUUAUUUUUUUUUGAGGAUACACCACCUCUUUUUUUGUAAAUAUUCAAUCUCCACCACCUUUUUUUUUUGUGUGUGUAAAUAUUUAGGUCUUGUUAUUAAUGAAAAUGGAGUUACCCGUUACAAAAAUGCAAGGUCUCCUCAAUUUUUAAACCGUUAGUUAAGAAUGAGAGAGGUCAAAUGACUCAAAUCCAUCCUCCACAAUUUUCCUAAAAAAAAAAUAAUAAAUAAAAAAAAAUAAAAAAGAGCAAACACCUAAAAAAAGAAAUUAGAGAAGGAAAAAAAGAAGGAGCUUGGUCUCUAGCCAAAUACAGUCCUCUUGUUCAUGCGGCUGAUGAAUUAUGUUCAGUCACCAGAGUUAGGAAAACUGGUAAUUACUUUAGUAUUUAGUUUUUUUUUCUCUUUCGUUUGUGCUUUUUAAACACCCUUAGUAACCAAAACAAAAAAAACAAAAAAAAGAAAUUGGAGAAGAAAAAAAAAAAUGAUACUAACAUGCAACCAAAUAAAGUAUAUUUUGCCGAAAGUGAAAAUUAAAAAGCCCCAUAUAAUUUUAUAGCAAAGAGAUCGAAGCAAUAUGAUCUUCGGGCACGAGUCCCACCAAACCACAAUAACUCAAGCAAGACAAAAGUUUGAAGCAUCUACAACUUAGUUCCUUUAACAAAAUACAUGUGAAUAUAUAAAUUUCAUUUCAAAUAUGCGGAGUAAAUGAUUGCCGCAUUUCAGUCAAAGUUUCCAAAGAACCAAAUCUAUUAGGUAAUUCCAAAAAAUGAAGAUCUAGAGUUGAGCCAACCUCCAACUACAUAUUUUUCCAAUUAAUUGUGACCCAAAGUAGUUCAAUUACUUCAAUAUCUGUCAUUAUCUCCCUUACCACUGAACUUCAAAUGUCAAGAUUUAAAUUAAAAGCACCAAAAAUGCACCUUUAAACUCUUAAAACACACCAUCAUUUGACCUCAGCCACUCGAGCCAUCUGUAUUAAUUUUCACCUAACCCAUUACAGGAGAGAUCCAUCAGCCUCAUUUGACCUUAGCGAAUUAGCUUAGGCUGUCGAUUGACAAGUUUCUAGAUUCUACCGAAAAAGAAAAAAACAACUAGUUUAAUUUAUAGAUUCUAGUUCGUUGUUAUUGUAUAUAUAUCUCUAAAGAAAGAUGGGAUGUCAUUGUUUUCGGUUCUCUGAAUAGAUUCUCAAGCCUAUAUAUAGUUUUCUUGUUAGCAAACAGAUAAUGAGAGUCGAAACAUGCACAAAUAAAGAAAUUGAUUGCUUAUAUAUAGUUUUCUUACGUCCCUCACUGGCUGCAGGUUGUUUUACUCCUGUAAAGUAACUGGUUUAUUUAUCUCAUUCUGGUAUUAACAAACUUCUAAGUAAUUAAUUUCCUAAAUAAAGUUUACUCACCAUCAAUAAAUACCGAUAUUGGCAUGCAUCCCAAGAAACGUAAUUUAGAAUUACAUACCAGUUACAUCGACUGGUAACGUGAGGAAGCUCUACGAAUUUCCUUAGGGUUAUAAGAACAAGAGCUUUGCAUCAAGAGAAGAGUGUCUGAAUUAAUUAAUCAGCCUACCAUUGAUCAAAGAUGUUGAAGGAUUCACUUCUUGGCUUCUUUGUCGUAACCUUUUUCCUUCUUUGCUGGAACCCUACACCCAUCAGAGCAGAUGAUUCCCCAGAACCGACUCACAUCAGAGAAAAUGGUUCACACCCGAUACAUGAGUGGCCACACCCGACACCCGACAUCCACCAUGGUAAUGUCAAGUGCUCAAAUCCACAUUUCCUUACUAGUUAUUCUUUUCGUUGCUACCAUGAUCAUCAUCUUCAUAAUUAACGAUUACGAUUUUUGGGUUCUAGAUGCUGCAACUCCUGAGGUAAUAGAAUUUGGUUACGGGCAAGACGACCCGAAAGGACCACAACACUGGGGAGACCUUAAGAAAGAAUGGAGCUUAUGCAAGGAAGGGAAAAGGCAAUCACCAAUAGAGAUAUGGGAAAAGAAUGCCUCCAAAGACAUCACAUCUUCAGACGAUCUAGUAGUGAGUUAUAAGCCUGCGAAUGCAACUAUCAAGAAUGAAGAACAUGCUAUAUCGGUAAGAAUUAAAUACAAGACCGAUCCUACUUAGUUAGUGCAUACAUGGAGUAUCUAAUCAACAAAACCUUCUGUAUUCUGUAUUUAGUAAGUUUUAAUGAGUAGGAGCUGGUGUAAAAUUACCAUUAAUUUCUACGUAGGAGCUGCGAAUGAAAUUACCAUUCUUAAUUGUAGUAAAAUGAGUUGUUGCAUGCAGGUUCUAUUUGAGGGUGAUGCUGGCUCAAUUCGAGUCAACGGGACAGACUACUUCCUCAAACAAUGCCAUUGGCACCACCCCUCUGAGCAUAUCGUUAAUGGCCGAAGGUCUCUCUCUCUCUCUCUCUCUCUCUCUCUCUCUCUCUCUCUCAAGAUGUUUUUUUUAGAUCAAAGGAUGUUUCUUGAAUUAUAUGUGAUGCGUCUAAACAAAAACUAUCUUUAUCAGGCAUGAUCUGGAAUUACACAUGGUUCACAAAACCAAGGACAUGAGCAAAGUAGCUGUAAUCGGAUUCCUCUACAGACUUGGGGCACCUAAUUCUUUUCUCACAAAGGUAAAAUCCUAUAUAUAACAUCUAUAUACAUUUGUAAGAACAGGAGAAUAUAUAAUGGUGCAAUUCAAAUCAACUUCAGGUAACAUCACAAAUCACGUCUUUGAUUGGUGUACAAAAGGGGAUACCAUUGGGAGUGACUGAUCCAAGGAGGGUGAAGAAGGCUCAUUUCCAAAAGAAUAUGGGGAAGCCGAAGAAGGCUGGCUCUAAAUUUUUCAGAUACAUGGGCUCUCUCACUACCCCUCCUUGUGUUGAAGAGGUUAUUUGGCACUUGAACAAGAAGGUACAACCUCUUCAUCAGACCUUAACAUUUUUUCUUUGACACUCGGUACAUUUGCAUAUUGUUCGUAGCAUAAAUUGAGAAGCAAGUUAAGCUAAUUAUAAACUUCCCACAGGUACAAUCUGCCUCCCCUGCACAAGUGGAGCUACUUCAGGAUGCAGUGUUUGAUGUAAGUUCUUGAUAAAAUACAACUAUGCACUAUAUACACUUCAAGAUCGAUAUGGAGUUUGAACAUGCACUAACUUCUUCUGAUAAACUUGGCUACAGUUUGCGAGGAACAACGCAAGACCAAUUCAACCUCUAAACGGCCGAGGAUACAAGCUCUAUGGGGAUUAUCACUGACCUUGAAAGAGCUUGAGUGACUGACGAGCUCAAUAAUUCGAUAAAACUUUGUUAUUUUCAUUGUAAUAAGUACUUACUCAAUUAGAUCAACUCAUGAUCUUUCAUGUCUGAAAAUUAUUAAUGUAUGUACGUACUUCAAAAGCUAUUGUUACAGUUAAGUUAUAUAUACCAGAAGGUCUAUAUUGGCUUCUUAAUGUAAUUCCACAAGUUGAUCAGUUGUUUUUGGUGAGCCGACCUCAUAUAUUUUGAUUAUACAGGUCAAAGUAGGAUAUAGGACAAAGUAAUAGUUCAAAAGAUAUGCCUGCCAAUGAAACUAGGAAGAAUAUCGGCAGAUUGAAACCCAAAUAGCAAGUACGUGAAUUCUUGCGGACAUCAAAUUGUGUAAGCAAGUGAAACCAUUAUCAUUCCAAAAGUUCAAUCGGGAAAUAGUUUGAGGAAUACGAAAGGUUAUGAGAACAAACAAGGUUAACGUCUGUCUCUCAUUCCCUCAAAGCUUCUAUACGUCUCUGUCUUUCAGCUUUGGCCCUUUUUGAAUCUCUAAUAUGAGUAAUAUCAGUUACAAACCUAGGCCUAUAGUCCUAUACUUAUAUUUGGAUCAAAAUUGAUUAUCACAGUGGCACCUAUGAUAUAUGGGAACAUACUUUAUACAUGAUAAAGCGUCAUACAAUUUAUUCUCAUACUAUUAGAAAGCAAACCUUAUCCCUCUCCACUGGCAUGUGAAAAUUUGCUCAAAGCAAAUAUUCAACCAGUGAACCUACAGAGAAACUAGUAGGCAAUGAAUAAGGGACAAGCACUAACUAAUACUCCAACCUUACCCAGAACUAAAAGCUUCCUUUUCUGACCCUGACCAACCCAACUUAGGAACUAAAAUGCAUCAUAUGGUAAUGACCUGCAAGUCAUUCACCUCACCAUCUGUGAAACCCUUGAUGAGCAUGACGCUGGCCCCCCUUGUGUCUGCCUCGUAUUGUAGGAUUUGCAGUUGAGGCAUUUGUGUGCCACCAUGUGAAAAUUUACCUCCGAGGAUUGCCCACAAUCAUUGCAGAGGAUCCAGACCUACACAUUUACAAGUACAGUAAGAGAGAGAACUAUUAAAUUCAGUCACAUUUGUUGCAAAAGUGGUAGAAAGUAAUCAUACUGAUACACUUACCAUCUUAUUGGCAUACAUUGGAGGCAUUGGAGUUGCGGCAAUCUGAAAUAGGAAUGAAAGAGAUUAGAAAUCCACAGCAGAUGGGCAACAAUUGAGACUCGUAUUGCAUGGAAUCAUCAGGUCACUUACCUCCUCGUCCAGUUUAGCCCACACACGUGACAUAUCACAGUACGAUUUUGAACAAACUGGGCAAGAAUACCUGCGCAUCAAUAAACAAUUAGAUGAAUUACAACAGAAGCUUCUUUAUAUAACUUACUAACAAUUUAUAUCGGACUCUAAAAUUUCAUCGACAUACCCAUAUAUAUAAAUGAAACAAAAAUUGGCUUACUGGAAAUGCCGCUCCAUCUCUUUUAAACAUUCCAAAUGUAUAGUGUGCCCACAUGGUAAGACAGUAAUGUCUGCCAUUGUAUCGAAAAGAAACUGUGCAAAUAACUUAUGUGAGUUGGUACACUGUAAAAAGAGAAUACCAUAUUAAUAGGAACAAACAAGUUGCCUAACAUCUUCAAAAAAUUACCUCAAAGCACACAGCACAAUUGUGAUGCAUUGCUUUUUCCACACAAUUGUGUGAGUCCUUCAGCACUGUUGAGUAACAGCAUCCUAAAGAACAUACAGAGAUGUUUUAAUUCAGACUAUUUAAAAUCACAUGGUUAAAAAGAUUUGUAACUAUUAAAAGCCCAAGGUUAUCAUCUUACCACAUCUGUCACAGUGGAAAAAGUUCUCCGCACCUCCGGUUCUGUAAUACCAAUUAAAACAAACUGAGAAACAUGCAAAUGCUUUACCGAAAAGUAAAACAAUGAAACGUAAUACCUACUUACAACAAUGAAACUUAAUCCCUAAUUAUGGCAAAAUGAAGCGUAACCGCUACUUACGACAAUGAAAAUAUGCAAGACACACAGAUCGAACAAACAACAUUCAAAGCAGAACGACAAAAAUUAAUCGUAGUGAACGAUAAACAUUAAUCAUAGGGACGACAAAAAAUGCUGCAAAGAGUCUAACCUGCAGAUACCGCAUUGGUCACAAUGAUACUGCUUUUUCGAAACCUGACAACAACAAAGUAAAUUUCUAGUGACGCAAGUGUAUUGAAGACAAUGCUUCAUAUCUACGGGAAAGUGAACUUAAGAUCUCCUUCUUCAUCAAUUAACAGCUGAAAUACUUACGUCAUCAUCAAAAAACUUGCAUUUGGGGCAAAAGUAGUUUCCCAUGCAAACCCCACAUUGCCUACAGUACUGCUGAACCUGAAGGAAGUAAGAAAUUCAGAAGUCAUCAACAUCAACCUUGAAUAUGGAAUCAAUAUCACAGUUAUCAGAACAAUUUAAAGACAGGCUUACAUCUUGUUCUGUGCUGCACAUUGAACAGAUGACCUAAAAGACACAAGCAAUUGAGGAUUAGUGUACCUUUACCACAUGAAGAGACCACUUCAAUUCAAAAUGAAAAGGACUGGUUUCAAGUUGGCAUAAUAUCUCCAAGUACUCAAAUGAAGAAUAAAAGAAAGAUGUUGAGCCUUAUCCACAAAGUCUAGAUCUUUUUCAUACAAACCCUUUAACGCUACACAUCAUUAGCAGACUUAAAAGAAAAGUCAGCGUCUAUAAGUACAUCCAUAUCCUGCAGAACCAGGAUCAACUCGAAUCUACUAAAAAAGGUCAAUUUUAUGAACUUUUAUUCCCACUCUCUUUCAGUAACAUUUUCCUUAAACUUUCCUUCUCGAAUUAAAUUGAUAGCUUUUCCUCAAAAAAAAAUUAAAUUGAUAGCUGCAUCUAGAACCUAUAGCUUUAACCUCACAGUUGUAAAAUUAGAACAAUUCUUCUAAAACAAGAAAAAAGAAAAUAUAAGCAAAGCAACCAACCUUCUUGAGAUCAUGGCGAGGAACAUCAUGGCGAUUAACGGGUUCAACAGCCAACGAGUUCUACACCAAAACCAAAAACAAAGAAAACAAAAACCCCAAAUCAUAAGAAGCUGAAUCAUGCAUUAAAAUUUCUGCAAUAGCAACUAAACACAAAACCCCAAGACAAAAAAAAAAAAAAAAAAAAACACAACUGACCUUGGAUUCAUUAUGGCAAUGCCUGCAGUCGAAAACCUCAUCACAACAAGGAGCUAUGAUCUUGCAUCUCCGUCUGUAAUGCAUGCACCUUACAAAAAAAAACACAAGACACAUUACAAAUAAAAAAAAAAUCAGCUAAUAAAAUCAUAAAACGAUUACUUCCUCAACAGAAUUGAAAAUCACAUGAUCAAUACCCCAAUUGCCCAGAUCCCUUCUUCCUAACGACAGACUGCUCGUAAUGUUCCUUCCCAAAACCCACCUGGGUCUCGAAUCCGCCCUCCAUUUUCUCAAUCUGCAUAUCAAUCACUUACAAUAGAUCGAAGCUUGAAGAAUGCUUAAUUACCAGAGAGAGAGCGAAAUAGAUAAGAGAGUGGAAAGCCCUCUGACGCUGAUAUGAAUUUGAUAGUUUCCUUUCUCUCUGUCCCACCUUUUAUAUGAAACUGUUGGCGAGGUGCCACGCCAGCCGACAUUAACCUAAUCUAAUCCUUCCAUGAUUAGCUCUAAUAAUUGCGCCUCUUUAAUUUCAUCCGAGAACGACGGAGAUUAUAGCAUUUUUUUGUUUUAUAAUAUCUGGAGUGAAGAAACGACGUCGUUUUUGGGAAUUGAUUCUGUGCUCAGUGUGCGGGUCCCAUGAGAUGGCGGGAAAGGCGGGGGUUAGUUAGUUAAAAAGGCGGGAUCUGAAGGGUAAUAUGGGGAAUAAUGUGGAUAAGGGUUGCUGACUGGACCUGGUUGGGCCAGGAAGCAACAUGCCGAUUGUCGUUUUUUAGGGUGUAUGUAAGUUGUAACGCUUUUUGGGGUGGGUCGUUUUCGUGACGAGUUGGGGCUAACGUUUGGAUUUAAUGGAUCACGUGCGGGGUUAUCCAAAUCUACAGUGGUGGUUCUGCGUACGUGGCAGUAUGGCAUGCAGAGUGACAGCUGGAAAAGUCAACUGGCAUCAAGUGUAUGGGUCGUAGCAAGUUGGGCGCGAAAGUUUGGGGGUACCAAAUUGUUGAAAGCCCAUCUGUGAUAUCGGAGAAGGUAAUGGGCCAAGAAAACUACUUGACCAACAAAACCCCAGAGGCUCCCCUACAAUAAUCCUGAAUCAAGCACGGCAGAGGCCUCGUCGAAGAUUCUCAAUGCUGCAUAUUGAUGCAUUUUUUCAGUGUAUGUAUACACGAUGAAUUACAAAUGUCAUGGAUGAUAUAAUGAGGGACUACACUCAUAACUAGCGUGAGACAAAGUGUACAUGUCUUCUUGAUUAGAGGAACUACUAAUUAAAUACGGGUACACGAUGAGGCCGUGACACAACAGUCACACAGAUUAACAAGAUUCUUAAUCCGACCAACUACCAAUAUCAUUGAUGAGGAGAUAUCGAUAUACCAAUGGCCAAGUAGCAGCGUUGAACCCAUGAAGAAUUGAUAACGUAAGUUCAAGUCAAUACAGAGAUAUGAAGGUGUAUAUAGCUAGUCCCCUCACAUUGUGGGGUUUAAUGAACUUUCAUUAUUUGGCGGGAACAAAAAAAAUUGAACUUGUAGAAAAGGUAUUUUUAUGGUAUAGUAUUGUAACUCUCGGUAGAAGACUAAAUUUUCACAAGCGUUAGUUCAUUUCUCUUACCCAAUUUCCUUCUUUUUUAGAAGACGUUUCUCUUUCUCUAUUUCACUUUUUUAGACAGGUAAAUGUUACAGUAUUUAUUUUACAAUUAUCAGAUUAAGGGCUAGUUUGGUAUUCAUUUUUUUAGUAUAUGAUUCCGAUAUACUGUGAAAAUAAUCAAUUGUGAAUUAAAAUGAUUUUGUGUUUGGUAAAUAUUAGUUUUAAAUCUGCUGCAAAGUCAAAAUAUAUUAAUUUCUAGUGUUUUUAUGACAGAUGCUUCUAAAAGUAACUUUCAGGUUGUUUCUAAAAACUGCUGCCAGUGACUUAUAAUUUUCAAAACAAACAAAAUUUUUUUUUCUUUGAUUUACCAAAUACUAUAAAAUCUAAAAAUUUAGAUAGAAGUUGAUUAUUUUAAAAACGAAGCUAUACCAAACAAGGUCUAAGUCGUGACCUGAUUGGUUAGGUAACGUCACUUUACCUAGACGUUUCUCUUACUCUUUGUUACAUUGCCAGACUAAGCCGGGGUCAUUUUGAUGAGAUAGAUUAAUCUACAACCCUCUUUCCUCUCUUCCCAGUGAUUGGAGAGCCAGACGGCUGGUGUUCCUCAAUUUCUCCGAUCACGACUUGCCUACGGUUUCUUUAAGGCAGGAAGGGAACUGAUGCAAAUGAACAUGUGGCAAAGGAAGUAAAAGUAGGAAUAAAACCAAUAGGCACAUGUGCCUUGAACACCAGCUUCAGUCCAGUACGUAGUUGUUGCCGAGCCUCCAGAAGAGCUAGCUAGCAUUGUCGGACAAAUCGGCCCCGUCGGCAAUCUUGUAACUUACGGGGUGGCCACUCCGGUGUUUUCCAAAGAUUUUCCAAUAUAUGGCAGGCCAACAUGUGUGACCAUACUACACACACCACACCUCUCAAACAACUUGGCAUACUUGAAUUGUAUGACCUUCUCAACUUUAUCAUCCAAACAAAAGAGUCUAUAAUCAACAGAGGUUGCCCAAACUCAAUUUAUACUAAAAUCUUCAUUAGAUGACUCUUCCGAGCCGUCUUAUUAUAUAUUCAUUCAUAUCUCCAAUGGUACUUCACACCAUGUGCAUGAGUUUCUCAUAUCGAAAGAGUGGUAGAACAUAAUCUAGUAUGAGGACUUGACAACGGGAACAUCUUCAAUGGCAUCAAUACAGUCAUACUUGGCUAGGGCUACAUGUGCACGAUUGAAGCCACAAGGGGUACCACAUCAAACCUAAGACUUGUCACUCGUUUCCGAGAAGAUGAAAAGUACCUGGUCUCCAUCUGUUGCCUCAACCCCUAAACUUCAUGUUGAGUUGCCAAGUAGUCUUGAACAUACUCAUGAAUGAACGUCGACUGAUAUCACGGGCAGUGAGUAGUUUGCGAACCAGAAAAACCACCAUUCGAAGAAUACUCUUGUCUUGCGGCGGCCUCAAGUCUACCGCCUUCUUCCCCUUGUCAAAGCCAAAGAGGAUGCCAAUCUUGCAGCCAUAACAUCGAUAUCUUCCAUCCCAAAAGAUUUUGAGCAGCUCACCGUUCUCAAAAGGAAAACCCCUAACCCUAGCCCUAGGGUUUUUAGAGAGAGAAUGACGUUAACAUUGAGCAUUAUUGUUUUCUAGUACGUCACUACAGGAAAUAAAGACUUAGCCGACGGAAAUUAAAAAUUCCGUCGCCUAAGACAUACUUCAUUGACGGAAACUCAACCGUCGUUUAGGACACCUUAUCCGUCGCCUAAGAUAUACUUAGGCGACCGAAAAUUACUUUCGUCUACUAAGAUGUUCUUAUUCGACGAAAAAUCAAUCGUCGUCUAAGUUCUGUCGGUUGGGAAAAACGAUCUUAAACGACGAAUUAUGUUCCGUCGGUGUAAUUAAUCCUGGGCGAAGAAAUGUCUUCCGUCGGCUAAGUAUGUCUUAAGCGACGAAUAUUCUUUCCUAGGCGACGAACUGUUCCGUCGACUAAGAAAGUGAAUUAUUGACUGACACAAGCCAGAAUGAAUAUUUUUACUGACGCCUGUAGUUUUAGGCGACGGAAUAUUCCGUCGGCUAAGUAAAUACAGAUUUAUAACCCCCUUCUGUCCAGAAGAGAACACAGAAAACUGAGCUAAGAAAAACAUACGCAGAAAGCCAAGAAAGCAAAAAAGAUAUAUGCUUCGAUCCUUUCCCCCUUCUUCAGGAAUAUUUUGCCGGUCGAUCUAUAGCUAGCUUCAAGAGGUACGUAGCUAGCUUCGAUUCUCUUCUAAUUGCUUAUCGAUCUACUUAAUUUUUUCAUUUAUACAUAUAUCUUUUCCGGCGACUUUGUCGGCAGUCCAAUAUUUUGCUGGUCCAAUUAUUGGAUUGCUUGAUGCAUGCAUGAUAUAUAUAUGAAUGUAACAUUUGAUAGUACGUGUAUAUAUACAUGUUGAAUAUGUUUGUACGUAUAUGUUGUGUUUAUAAUAUGUUUGUACAUAUAAUCUGUGUAUAUACGUAUAAUAUAUUUGUAUAUAUGUGUGUAUAAUAUGUAUGUACGUAUAAUAUGUGUGUAGAAUAUAUAUUAUGUUUUUAAUUUGUAUAUAUAUAUAUAUAAGUAUAUCUAACUUUUGUGUGUACGUGUAUACUUAUAAUUUUUAGAGUGUAUAUAUAUAUUACUUUUAAUUUGUUCGUAUGAUUAAUAAUAUAUUAUAUAUAUGUGAAUAAUAUGUUUAUCAAAUUUUUGUUUUUAUGUAAAUUAUUUGUGUAUUGAAAUUAAUGAUAAAAAAUAAAAUGAUGAAAUAUAUGUAAUUAAGAAUUAUAAUAUUCUUAUACAUUAAAUUCAUCAAUAUAUAUUGUUACCUUUAGAAAUCCCAUUCGAGAACUAUUAUGUUACGACUGUGUCUAACAAAAUGGUUUUCGAAUUGUCCCAUAUUUGGACAGUUUGGGAGCAUAUAUGACAUUGAGAUUUCGUUUGUUGUUAGUGCGUUUCGUUUUCGGUUAUGAGUAUAUAUAUUUCGACAGGAUCUUCCUUUAUUGUUCCUCAAGUGCAUAUUAGGUAUAUAGAUAUUCGUGCACUUGGGGAACUGUAGGGAGAUGUUGCCGAAAUUUUCUCACAUACGCGAAUUUGAAACGCCCUAACAACAAACGAAAUCAUAAUGUCAUGUGCUCUCAAACGGGAUUAGGGCCCUAACCGGAGGCAUAAGGUGAAGAUUGUAGGUGUGAACAAUGUACAUUAAUAUAUCUUAUAUAUAUAAUAGUUAAGUAUAUAUUUAUAUAUAUUUCCAGUUUAUUAUUAACGAUUUUUUGACAACUAUAUUUUUGUUUCCUGUUAUUAUAGUGUACAACAUGAACAAGAGCUGGAUGCAAUUAGGGAGAGGGUCCUCUCUUUAUAUGAAAGGCAUUUUUGAUUUUCUUGAGUUCGUGCGUCUACAUAGUCCUCCAGACAAAGUUAUUCACAUAUGUCCAUGCAACAAAUGUCUCAAUCGGAAACCAGUAACAUAUGAAGACAUGUAUUCUCACCUGGCACUAAACGGUAUUUGUCCUAGUUAUACCACAUGGACAUGACACGGCAAAAAUCUAGUUCAAAUGCCUACACUUGCAGAAAUUCAAGCACAACAUAAUCAGCAGGCAGGAUCUUCCAAUGCUAGUUACGGGGACCCUGCUGUGAUGAACCUCUUAAACGAUGCCUUCCCGUUCGCCGCCUCAGGAUAUCAAGAAAAUGUUGUUUAUGACAACGCCCCUGACACCUUCCCUAAUGUCUCCCACGUUGACUACAGCAGUGAUUAUGAUAACUAUAACAGACUUGUAUGGGAAGUACAAACCCCAUUGUAUCCUGGCAGUGAGCAUACUGUGUUGGGUAUCGCCAUGGAGCAAAUGCAGAUAAAAUCCAAGCGGGGAAAGACUAAGACAUGUUUUGAUGAUGAUAUUGCACUUAUGAAGAAAGUGCUCCCCAAAGGUAACAGUUGUCCAGAAAAUUUCGAUCAGUUAACAAGGAUGUUGGCUGGCCUCGGUCUUGAUCACCAAAAGAUAGACGCUUGCGUCAAUAACUGCAUCUUGUAUUACAAAGAUAACAAGGAUGAAGUUGAGUGCCCACACUGCUACGAGGCAAGGUAUGAAGCUUCCAUUUCAUCUAACCAGAAAAAGCCCAUUCCUAGGAAGGUUCUUCGUUACUUCCUGUUGGGUCCUCGUCUACAACGUCUGUACAUAUCUUCACAUACGGCCAAGCAUAUGAGAUGGCACCAGGCAAGACACCAGGGAGAGGAGAGGAUAGAUCCGAAUAAUCUCACACACCCCGCAGACGGGGAGGCUUCGCAACACUUUGACCGUUCUUUUCCCGAAUUUGUUGGAGACUGUCGAAAUGUCAGACUCAGACUUGCAAUAGACAGAUUCAAUCCUACAGGAAACAUGAAUUUGUCUUACAGCAUUUGGCCUGUGAUAGUAUUUUUGUACAAUCUACCUCCCAACAUGUGUAUGAGAAAGGAGUACAAUUUUCUUACGCUUAUGGUUCCAGGGCCAUGUUCUCCAAGAAAGUGCUUGGAUGUGUACAUGAGACCAUUAAUUGACGAGCUACAAGAGUUAUGGGAAAAUGGACUCCCUACUUUUGACAGGCAUGGUCAAACUUCAUUCAUGAUGAAAGCAGCUGUUAUUUGGACAAUCAGUGAUUUUCCAGCUUACGGGAUGUUGUCUGGCCAACAAAUUAAGGGAUACAAGGCUUGCCCAGUAUGCAUAGAUGACGUCAAUUCUAGUCGCCACGCCGACAAAAUUUGUUUCUUGGGAUCUCGUAGACAUCUUCCCGAAGAUCACGAGUGGCGAUGGGAUGCUGAGGCAUUUGAUGGGACUGAGGAGCAUAAUCCGAAUCCCCCAAGGAGGUCUGGUGAGUGGAUUUUGGAGAGGCUUAACCAGCACUAGUUCGAAUAUUUAAACACGAGUAAAGAAGUAACUGACUUGAAUCCUCCCACGCCUGUUGAGUUUAAAUAUUGGACGCACAAAAGUGUAUUCUUUGAAUUGCCUUACUGGUCGACCUUGAAAAUCAGACACAACUUGGACGUUAUGCACAUAGAGAAGAAUGUCUGUGACAACGUUCUUGGAACAAUUCUGAAUCUCAAACAUAAGAACAAAGACACCCCCAAAGCCCGUGUUGAUCUUAAGAUGAUGGGUAUACGCCCCAGCUAUGGCUAGUAGAGAGCAAAAAAACAAAAAAACCAUAAUACCGAAAGCAUGCUACACAAUCCAUCCUCAAAAGAAGGCGGAAGUGUUUUAGUAGUUUGGAAACGUUAAGUAUCCUCAUGGGUAUACAGGGAAUAUCGCUCGAUGUGUUAAGAUGGGGGAAAAUAAGAUUAGUGGGUUGAAGACUCAUGACUGUCAUGUUUUGCUGCAAUGUCUUCUUCCCGUGGUCAUUAGACCGUAUUUGCAGAGUGAUGUGAUUGACACGUUAGUGGCUUUGUCAAAGUUCUUUCAGAGGAUAUGCGCUAAAGAGCUUAAAAAAUCUGAUGUUCGGUCAUUGCAAGAAGACAUUGUGUACAUCAUGUGCAAGCUGGAGAGGAUCUUUCCCCCAACUUUCUUUGACAUCAUGAUUCAUCUCAUGAUCCACCUUCCCAAACAAGUGUUGCUUACUGAUCCGGUACAGUACACCUAGUGCUAUCCAAAUGAGAGGUACGUAUGCACUCAUAUUUAUUCUAAUUAAUUAAUCAUUGAUCCUUUCAAAUUAAGAUAAUUUUUAAAAAAUAUUUAUUGUAUGUAAGAGAAUAAAUAUAUAUCUGUUUUGCAGGCAACUAGCUAGGGGAUUUCAAGAAGAAGAACAAAAACAAACGUUUCCCUGAUGGGUCGAUCACAGCGGCAUACAUUCAGGCUGAGUGUGUAACUUACUGCAGCGCAUAUCUUAAUGAUGAAGACACAGUAGGGGAAUCAUCUGGAGCGGGUAGUAGUCAGCAAUUCAAUCUAUCAGUUGUUUCCAACGAUGUUCAACCGUAUGGCAGGCUAAGUAAUUCUGAAAGAUUAAGUGAUGCUGAGACCAAAGAGGCUCAUUGGUGUGUCCAUCAACAUUGCGAAGAAGCCGAGCGAUACUUCAAGUCCCAUUUACUAAGGCAGAAUGGUAACGAAGCCAUACACAAGAGAGAUUUUCCUGAUUACUUCCCUAUUUGGGUACCUCCUCUAUAUAUAUAUAUAUUCAUAUAUAUUUGGAGUUACAUAAAUUAAAUAUAUGUUGUUUUUUUAUGUUACAUAAUAUAACAACGUACGUUGCUCUUAAAAUUGUUACAGAUGAUGCACAUUCUACAAUAUUUUCCUGCUUCUUACGACCCGGAGUUGCACUCGUUAGCUGGAGGACCCCUAAGCCACAGAGUUCGUACUUGAUGUUUUGUGAACGGUGUUAAGUUUGUGACGUCAGAACGAGAUGAAGGCCAUGUCACCCAAAACAAUGGAGUCAUGGUUAAGGGUUUGGGUUUCAACUACUACGGGGUUCUUGUCAGUGUCAUCGAACUAAUCUACGGCAAGGGUAUGCCUGUCGUGUUGUUCAAGUGCAAAUGGUUCAAUACUGACCCAACCAGACGGAGGAGUACAAUUAUGGAUCGUGGCUUGUUAUCAGUGGACUCAAACAGUGUAUGGUAUGAGAAUGAGCCGUUUAUUCUUGCCACCAUGGCGAAACAAGUGUUUUAUCUUGAUGAUCCGGCUAUGGGUGAGGGUUGAAAAGUGGUGCAGGUGAUGUCACAUAUAAAUAUUUGGAGUGCAGCUACGUUGGGAGGGGAUGAUGAGAGUGGGCCUAGUGAACCAACAAUUAAUCAACCGAAUGAACCAUAUCAAGAGGAAUCUCCACAUGUAGUCCCCGAUACUGAGGAUAUUCGUGUCAACAACUAACACGUUCUGGCUAUCAUAGGUUACCUUCUAAUUACACCAUCUGAACUGAACUCGCUACAACGUCGCAACCCCGGCCCCAAUCAUGAUGACGACGGCUUCAUAGAUGACGAAUACAUAGAGGAUGAUGAGUAUUCUGACCAAAUUGAGGAGGAUGAUGAUUCGGACGACUCAGAUUAUCAUCAGUACGAUUAAUAUUGUACUUGUUCCAUAUUAUUGUGGAUUUCGAUCGGUCUAAUCUACUUAUAUUAAUUAAUUUGGCAUAACUUCGGAUAUGUAUUUUCAAAUUAACUUGAUGCUUAGACAUAUAUAUAUAUAUAUAUAUCAUUCAUGAAGGCCGGCUAUUUUUAUUAAUUAAUUUCUACGUACUUACGUAUAUGCGCGCAUGCUUGAUGAAUUCGAAUUAUUGUAUAUACGUACGUGUAAUUUUUAAAAUGCAUAUGUACGUAUGCGUUUUUAUAUAUGAAUAAAUUUUUAUGUAACUUAGGCGACGGAAUUUAAUAAUUCGUCGCCUUAAUACUUCAAAUGUCACAUCCCGACCCUUAAAUUUUUACCUUAUUUACUAGCUUGAUUAUAAUAAGAAUUUUACUGUCUCCGUCAAUGAGUUAUGGUUUAAUUGAUCCCUAGAGGGGUUUUGAGGGACGAUAUUUUCGGAGGAAUUAUUCGUAGGAGAAAAAUAUGACGACGGUAAAAAUGGUAAAUUUUAGCUAGUAAAAGGUAAUUUUUAUUAUGGUUUUAUUUUUAGGGUGUUAAAUUUUAGAGUUGGGUUUUAAGUGAUGGUGUUGGACCGGUUGGGGAAAAGCCCAAAUCAUUUCUCUUCUCUCUCUUCUCUCUCCUCCCUCCCGAUUCUCUCUCCCUCUCCCUCCGCCGGAUUUUCUUCCCGGCCGUUCGCCGUCGUUCGGCCGCCUCUGACCACUGCGCCAGUCCCAAACGGACGGCGGUCGACCCAGCCUUCUUCUUGGACCGGUGAGAGGAUCCCUAGCGCCGCCGUGAGAGAGCGUUGCCGCCCGAGAGGUUCGACUGCCUAGAACUUCCAGUCGUCGGAACUUCCCUCCUCCGGCCACCAAUCCGGGUAAGCUUUAUAUGGUUUUGAAGGUCUCCAACCCAGUUGCCUUGCCCUAGAAGGACUCAGUCCAGUUUGCUUCAGGUAAGGAGAACCGGUGAGUGGAAGCUCUAGGGCUUUUUGUGUUGUUUUGCUCAAUUGUCCUAGUUAGGCUUUGAAUUGGUGUUUGUGCUAGUUAGGAAUGUUGUAGAGGGAGUUGAGAGGAAGAUGUUGUUAAAAUUUGGUGGGCAUUAGAGGUCGCCGGAAUAGGCCUCCGGCCACCGCCGGUUGGGAGAUUUUAAUGUUUUUAAAUGUGGAAUAUUAAGAGGAGUAUAUUGAUGUAAAUUAUGGAAUUUUCGAAUGAGUUUUGAAUAGGUUUGUGAUUUUCCAAAGUUUGGUAUUUUUGGCGGUUAAUUAAUGUAGAAUCCGGCCGUAGGAUUUAAGUCGUUGUUCUUGGGAGGUUGUAAUUACGGCUGCCGAUUAUGGUAUUAAAGUUGUAUUGUUUCGUUUUAGGAAAUGCGAAGUUGGGCAAGGAUAAGCGUGGUUGCGGCUCAUAUUUAAUUUUGCCUAUUUUGUUUAAAUAUUGGAUUUUAGUUGGGAAUUUAAUUAUAUAUUUGUGCUAGGGUUCGAGGAAACCUCAUUGGAGUGGUGAUUUGGAUUUCGUCAGGCUUAUGCCUAGAGUUGUGAGUGGACCUUUGUUUUUAAAUGAAAAGCAUGCGAUGAAUUAUUUUGUUGAUAAUUUAUUUCUCUUGCUGAGAUUUAUUUAUUUCUUAGAUAUUUGGCAAUUUUUCCUCCUUUGGAGAGUUCCCGGAAAUGAGAUUUUCGGUGGAUAUGUUUGUGGGAUGUUUAUGAGAAUAGUAUGUAUAUAUAAAUGCUAGCUAGCCAUACCUGUUUGAUCCGCCAUAGUGAGGUAAAAUACCAUAAUGGUGUGACGUGAGUGUUAGACACAAGCGUAGUAGCCCUAUAUGAAAACUAUUUUCUUAUUUGGUUUAUUUAGGUUUUCAUAUAGGGAGUCCACACGUAUAUACACUUGUGCUUUUUCCGCCAUACUGAGGUACAAUUCCAUUAUGGUGUGACGUGAGCGUUAGACGCAAGCGUAGUAGCUUUGUAUGAAUUUCUAUUUUUCUAAAUUGUUCUUAGAAUUCAUAUAAGGAGUCUAGCGAGUGUAAAUACAUACACUUAUAUAUGUUUAUAUAUAGUUUAGCCUGAGAGGCUGUAUUUCUUUGAGUUAUGGAGACUAGCCGGAGCUAGUCAUGAAAUUGCCAGUUUUUGUGUUGAGCGCUUUUGAGCUACCGCAUGCAGUAUAUUUUCUUUGGAAAUUAAAAUGGGGAAGCAUAAAUAUUUUUAUUAAUUUAUUUUUGUCCACUCACUCUAACGUUGUUAACUGUUUUCCCCUGGGCCUUUCGUUUUAAAAAUGCCCAGCUUGCAGGUUAGGUUAGUCGAGGUCGGGCGUACAUGGAGAUGAGGCAUAAUCAUCAUAUAACUUCCGCUUGUUAAUUUAUUUUGUUUCCUUUCUUCCUGUUAGAGUUGCUCUGAACCUAUAAAUGGUUGGAUAUGAGAUUUGUUUAGAUUAGUAAAUUUUGGGUGGUGUUGUGAUUUGGGGAGCACGAAGGCUCUAGGAGUAAAGGAUUAUAAAUGGAUUCUUUUGAAGUGUAUGCAGGUAUUAUUAGAAAGGGUUGUCCAUUUUCAAGGGAGGUUAUGCCGAUUUUUCGGUAAAUUUUCCUUGGAGGUGGUCCCCACAGGAUUUACUUCAGGUUUCAGGGUGAAAUUCGGGGUGGGUCCUGACAUCAAAGGCGACGGAACUUGACUAUUUCGUCGGUUUAGUAUUACUAAGGUGACGGAACGUGGUUGUUUCUGUGGCCUAGGAUACCGAAAUAUUAGGCGGGGGAAUUUUGUGCCAUUUUUUUGGGGCCAAAAUUUAAUUUUUUAGGCGACGAAUAAAUUUCUUAACCGACAAAAUAUUCCGUCGGUUAAGACUUAGGCGACGGAAAUUGGAGUGGUCGUCGCCUUAGUUUUACUAAGCCGACGGAAGUAAUCUUGUUCCGUCGGUAAGAAAAAUACAAACUCCUAAUCUGAGACAGCACAACUGAGGUCCUAAAAUCCAAACUCAUAAACACACUCUCACAUAAACCGAUCCCUAAAACCCAACUGAGGUCCUCCCAAAGCUGCGCCACCCGACCGGAAUCCACCGCCUCCACCCAUUGAAGACCCCGCCAUCCACCGAUCGGUGACCGCAUCGACGCCACCCACCUCCUCUGAUCUCGCUACACAGUCCUUCUGUCUCCGAUCUCGCCACCCAGCAAACCCAAUUUCCUCUUCCUCUCUGCCGGAAAACCCUAACUUCAAACUUCCCCUCUUCACUCCCAAGUCCAAAGCCGAAGCCUUGUCUCACGAAAAGGUAAUAUUUGGUUAAUUUGUUAUGUAACCAGUUUAUAGCUUCUGAAUUGUUAUAGACGAAUAAAUUGAUAGAAGUUUGCAUAUAAUGAAUUCUGGGUUUGAUAUGUUGGUUGCAUCUGGUCAAUAUUACUUGUGUAGACUGAAACUAUCUCAUUGUUAAUACGGAAUGAUAGGAUUUGGGAUGAACUUGCCAUUGGCAGUUGUGGAGGAUAUGUUCUGGUUGCUAGAAUAAAAGGUAUAUAGGUAGUGAGAAUAAGGUUGUUGAUUAUAAAUUGAACUAGAUGGAAUGGUAGGAGUACUAGAUUUACUAGAUUUAGCAUAGCACUCUUUCUCCAAUGAUGUUGUCUUUCAUACAAGGUAGGAGAUUCAUGUUUUACUCUUGUGUGCCAGUUUUGCAUGCCAAUGAGUAUCUAUAUAUGUACAAAAUGGUUUAUUACAAAGAAUACAUUUUCUGGUGCCAACUUUCCCUAUGAUGUUCGUAUGGGUGCAGAAGCGAGCUACUUCCUAUAAAAUUAAGACAAAUCAUGAAAUAAUCAUAGUACAUGCGAAAUGUAAAUAUACGAAUAAAUAUAAAACAUAAUGUAGAAUACCAUCUGGAAUUCCAUCUUUCUCUAGGUUUCUAGUGUUGGAUUCGAUUGGAAGAUGACACAUGUUUUGAAGGAGUAUGUGGACAGUUUAUAUGCAGUUUCUAUACUAUUGCAACUGGAUUAUGUGGACAGUUUAUUUACUUGUUGCAGUUUGUGAAAUUGUUGAUGUGAAUAAUAAUUUAGCACUAAGGUUGAUGAAUGGUGAAGGUAAUGUUAGCUAGCUUGUGGCCUAAAAUUGUUUCAAUGCAUAUAUAAUGAGGAGCAUUUCAGUUGUGGCCUAGAAAGUCUUAUCUUGAUUUUGCUGCUUAGAUGCAUUUUCAGUUGUUGUUCAGCUCAGUUCUAUAUGCUACCAAAUUGCAGAACAUGAUCAAUUUAGAAAGGGUCUCCACCAAACCAGUUAAAUGCUUGGAUGAAAAUGCUUGGAUAAUUUUGUUGUGCAACUGACUAAGUGUGUAGUCAUUAGGCAUUAGCAUUAGAUUAAAUCAAUUCAUUAGAUUACAUUUUGACAAUUGUGUGUUAUUCAAUUGCAAGAUGGUGAUCGUGGGGAAGAGGAAGGACUGAGCCACUAAGGCCGGUGCUUUGAAGGAGUCUAUACGACAGGGGGUCGGCUCAGCUAGCAGUAGCAGCCACCCUUCCCCCAUGCCGGCUGACACAGUACCACCAACGGGUCCCCCCUUGAUCGUGCGGCCCGUUCCCGUUGACACUACUUCAACGGGAUCUCCAUCAUCUACACCGACACCCGAAUCUGCAAGACGCAUUGUCGGCAGCGCUCGUUUGAAAGUUAGAAACCCAACAGGUAAAUACCCUAAUUCCUCUUAUAGUUGUAUUUAAGUUGCGCGCCCCAGGUGCCUGCAGCGCGCACCGGUGUGCCAGCAGCGCGCCCUAGGGUGCCCUGGGGCGCGCAUGCAAGCACCCUCGGCUGCUUACUGCUUACCUAAUUUACUGCUUAUCCUAAUGUUCUGUAUAUAUAUUAAUUGUAGCUCCGGCCCUGAAAAAGAAGCGGGGUUUCUGUUCUGAAAGAAGGCGGAGGAUAUCGUUGCACAAACGGGGCAGAAGAUCAAGCUGCAGUAUUGCCCCGGUGUAAAAGGCCCUAGCGUGUGGGGGAUAAACAGCUUGGUAGCGCAUGAUAUCGGUUCCGCCAUACGGAGUCUGGUGGGAAUGAGGGCAAGGACGUUCUACGACCUUGAUUAGGUGGAGAAGUGGAAGGUGUGGAAUGCAUUAUUGGUAAGUAACAGAAAAUAGUUUCAAAAGUAUAUUUACUUAAUUACAUUUUUUAUUUUUAUUUUUCAAUGCUUAACUCUUUGUAAUUUUUUUUUUAUUUGUUACUUAGCCGAAGUACGAGUGGGAUGAAAAUGAUGAGCCAAUGUUCGAUUGGAUACUGAAGAGGGCACAUGAGAGGUACAAGGACUGGAAGUACUAGUGUCACAAAGCUUAUUUGAAGGAAGGGCCCUCUGGCAUGCCUUCAGAUUUCAUUGGGAGAGAGGACUAGUGGGAGUUUCUAUGCCAGCACUUCGAGUCAGAUGCGUUCAAGGUGAUUUUCUAAAUUACCUUCAUUUUUUUUUUAAAUUACCUUCAUUGUUUCCCUUGUAUUUUACUAAUCUAUUUAAUAUUUUUUCGUGUAUAUAUUAGAGACUCUCCUUGGCAAACAAGCGGAACCGUAGGGAGAAGACUAUGCACCACCACACGGGGUCUUCUCCUAUCAUCUACACAAUGGAGGAACUUAGAAUACAAGGGGAGCAGCUUCCAAUUAUCAAAGGUUUUGAGAAGACCUAUGUCAGGGCCGGUGAUGAAGAUACGACCAAGAAAUAUGUAAGUGUCUUUCUUUUUACUAUUUUAUUAUUCGCAUCUAUGUUUUAUAGGGGAUUGGGAUCAAAGCAUGGGGAGGUUUCUUAAUCUUGGUGAGCGGUAAUCUUAGAGACGCUUUUGGAGUUUGUUGGUCAUUUUUCUCAUGAGUGUUUGGGUAACAUGCGCCCCUUUUAUUGAUUUCGGAUGGAAACUACAAUUAAUAUUUGGUAGGGCACAUUUGUUAGCAUCUUUAACACUUUACAGCUGCCUGCCCUAGCUUCUAUCAUUUUCAAUUUUAUUUUCUCUUAUACCUGAAUCUUGAUAGGACAAUCUAACACAUUGCUUUAAAAAGAAAAAAAGAAAAAAAAAAACUGUACAUACACAUACUACGCAUUGGAUGUAAUUUUGAUUUUUAUUGAUAUAGGGUAAUGACGAUAAGGUAACUAUAAAAGAGAUACUACGUAUUGGAUGUUAUUUUUAUUGUCAUUAGGGAUCGAUUGUUAUUUUGAUUGUCAUUAGGGAUCGAUUGUGAUUUGUACAAGUACCCAUGGUUUGAUGUGUCUAGCUAUAUAUAUGUGGCUGUGGUUUUGGUUAAUUAACUCGAAAAUGAAAGGUUGAUUAUGUAUGUGUAAAAUGAAAUAAUCCAAACUGGUUUAUUUUCUGAGAGCUAGGCUCUUGUAUUGUCUUUUAUGUAUGAACACGUACUUAUAUAUACCUACAUGCGUGCAACUACUCUUCUAAUCAAAAUAGAGGCUUCUAUUUUUCUUCGAAUUCCUUGUGCUUAAUUAAAAAGAAAAUUGAUACAUCGAUGACCUCGAUCCAUAUAUCUUAAUAUACAUGCAUCAAUUAAUUAAUAUCAAGUUCAGAAGAAAAAUACUUGGAUUAUACACGUUUCAAGGUGCACCCCAGGGCGCGCUGCUGGCACCCUGGGGCUCGCAUGUAGGCACCCUAGGGCGCGCAUGCAAGCACCCCUGCUUAUUGCUACAGAAUUUUUUUUUUUCCAACUGAUUCCUAGCUUCAACUGUUACUGUUUUAGGUGCUAAUACAUGUGUUGAGCAAACUUGUUUAUUAAUUGAUGUAUUUUAAAAUGCAUGCAGAAUGAUAUGGUUGAUGAGGUCAAUAAACGAAAGGAUGCGUUGAAGGAACAACACCCUGACGCGACGGAGGAGGAGAUUAUGGAGAGUGUUCAGUCCCAACAAAUUGAGGUGUUGGGCACGGUGCUGAAAACUCGGAAAGGAAAGGAUAUUCGAGGGAUAGGACGAGGAGGCAAGGACUUGAGCCAAUCUUCAAAUGGUUCCACUUCACGUAGUCGUCCUCCUAGAGUUGAUGAGCAGCAACUCCAAGAGAUGCAGGAGCACUAUGAGCAGAGACUGAAGGAGUCAGAGGAGCGUGCCCAACAACAAUAUCAAGAGGCCCAUCAGCGUGCCCUGCGUGCCGAGUCCAUGUAUAGCGUUGUGCAGUCCCAAUUUGCAGCCAUAUAUGAGCGCUUAGGUAUGCCACCUCCACCUCCUCCACAGAGUCCUCAUCCUCCUCCAGUUGUUUCUCCUUCACAUGGUUCUCCACAAAACAAUGAUGAUCUAGGUGACAACAUACAAUUGUUCAAUUAUUGAUUUUGUAGUACUUCAUUCAUAGUUUAGCUAGAUUGUAUAUGUAUGAACAAUUUUCUACCUAGCUAGUUCAUUAAAUAUUUCUCCAUCGAUCUAGUUAUCGAUCAUGAUCAAUAUAUGAAUAUGUUUUCCAAAUCCGAUGCUUGCGGUAUAUCUGUAUCUGUAUAUGUUUGAUUAUUGUUACUAAUUUGUAAUUUUUGAACAGUGAAUAAGGUUAAAAAACAAAAAUGCAACCUUUUUUUUUUACCUAAAUAAAUAACUUAGGCGACGGAAACAGAAGCAUCCGUCGCCUAAGAUAAAUAACUUACCCGACGAAUAAAAAUCAAUCGUCGACUAAGAACUCUUCAUAAUUCGUCGGCAUAAAUCUAUACCGACGAAUUUUCCGUCGCCUAAGAAUGUAUCAUUAUUCGUCGGCGAACAUAUAUACCGACGCCUAUUUCGUCGGCUAAGUAUCUUUUCGACAAGAAGGUUCCGUCGAGACAGAUACUUAUCGACGAUUAAGUUUGUCGACAAGGCAAGAAAUGAUCCGUCGGCUAGGAAAAAUCAUACUCGACGACGAGGUAGACACUUAGGCGACGGAACUUAGACGACAGAUUAGUCGUCGGUGAAGUUUCUAGGAGACGAAUAGUGAGUCUUAGGCGACGAAUUUGUUCCGUCGCCUAGGACGAGAUUUCCUGUAGUACUACUGUUUUAUCUUCACCUUUUUUAAUACAAAAUGGCUAGAAUUAUUAAAUAUCUCUAUGCAUUUAAUAUUUAUAUCUCUAUUGUUAGAAAGUCAGGCGUCUGUUUGGUGUCAUGGUGAAGCUUUUUUUUAUGAACUACCUAUAUUACCCACGAUAGAGAAGUUUUGACAUAAAAAAAAAAACAAAUCAAAGAUGGUUAAUACCGUAAAAUGAAGAUAGGGCAGCUGAAUUAUUCUACUUUAAUGACCUAGCCGCUCGUCUACUAGGGUUUGCUCUCUCAAGGUAGAAAGCAAAAUCGUUUCGACCAUGGAUAUGGAUGUACUCAGUUGGAAUUGCCGUGGUAUUUGCAGUGAUUCGACUACUAGGGCGUUGAAAGAUCUGAUCUCUCAGAAUCGACCCCAGAUCGUGUUUCUUUGUGAAACAAAAAUUGGUAACAUGAGCGUGCUUGAAGAUCUUCGGAGAAGUAUUGGAUUUGCGCAGGGUGUAGGAGUGCUCAGUGAAGGUUUCUCUGGGGGUUUGGCUAUGUUUUGGAAUGAUGAUGUGAAGGUGGAAUUAGGGUCUUCUUCGGCUCAUCACAUAGAUUUGGAAAUUGAUGGUGGUGUGGGUUGCCCUAGAUGGAGAUUAACAGGUUUCUAUGGCUGGCCACGUAUAGCCGAUAGGGAUCAGUCUUGGCAACUGUUGAAAGAUCUUAGUGACCGAUGCUCACUUCCCUGGGUUGUUAUAGGAGAUUUCAAUGAGAUUUUGUAUAGCGGGGAGAAGCAAUACGGCCCUCAGAGAAUUGAGAGACAAAUGCGAGGGUUUCGUGAAGCAUUGGGAUAUGGAGAUUUACUCGAUCUAGGGUUUUCAGGUCCUACUACAACAUGGUGGAAUUCAGAAACACUACUCCGGCUGGAUCGAGCAGUAUGUACGCCAGCUUGGUGUGACCUUUUUGGCCAUGCUAGAUUGCAGCAUCUGUUACCUAGUGAUUCAGAUCUUGACAAUUCUUCUGAGGGCUAGCACAGUUCCGAUAGCCAAGAGACCUAGAAUUCAUAGGUUUAAAUUUGAGGCACAUUGGCUGCAGCAUAGCGAAUGCGAUGAUGUUGUUAAGGAGGCUUGGAGUACUGAGGUAAUUGGUUUGCCAAUGUUCCAAGUCACAAGGAAGAUCAAAUUUACUCGGCUGAAACUGGAUGCUUGGCAGAAGACUAAGUUUCGUGGUAGACAACUUGAGAUGUUAGGUAUUAGAGAGAGACUCGAAGUGUUGCUUGGGGCUGGUAUAUCGGAGGCGAUAGUUACAGAGAAGAAAGAACUCUCUACCAGACUUCAGAAGAUACUCUCUGAGGAGGAGACUUUCUGGAGACAAAGAGCCAAGGUGAUGUGGCUAAAAGAUGGGGAUAGAAACACUGGUUACUUUCAUCGGAAGGCUUCUAAUCGUAAACGGAAGAAUCACAUCAAAGGCCUCUAUGAUUCAAGGGGGUAUGUGGGUGGAAGAGGAUGAUGAUAUGGAGAGAGUGGUCUCUUCUUAUUUUAAACGUGUGUUUACAGCUGAGGAUAUAGAUAUGGAGGCAAUGCAUACUACAUUGAAUGCCAUAUCUCCCUGUAUUACAAAUGAUAUGAAUAAUCAACUGUGUACUCUCUACUCUGAAGAUGAGAUUAGGACUGCCUUGUUUCAGAUGUAUCCAACCAAGUCACCUUGACCGGAUGGAAUGCCUCCUCUAUUUUUUCAACACUAUUGGGAUUUGAUUGGAUCGGAUGUGACGAAGGCAGUUCAGAGUUUUCUUCAUUCAGGUCAGAUCCUAGGGCAAAUUAAUUUCACUCAUAUUUGUCUAAUUCCGAAGGUUCCAAACCCUGAGAACAUGUCGGACCUGAGACCUAUUGCUCUUUGUAAUGUUAUUUACAAAAUUUGUUCCAAAGCAAUUGCAAAUAGACUGAAGGUCAUUCUACCAGAAGUGAUAUCUCCUUUUCAAAGCGCGUUUGUACCGGGUCGAUUAAUUACUGACAAUAUCCUUGUUGCUAAUGAGAUAGCUCACUAUGUCCACAAUAAGAGAGAUGGAGAUGAAGGUGUUAUGGCUUUGAAGUUGGACCUAAAGUAAAGCUUAUGAUCGAAUGGAAUGGCUGUUUUUGCGUAAAGUUUUGGAGAGGUUUGGUUUUGCUGCAAACUGGAUUGAGCUUAUUAUGAAAUGUGUUAGUACAGUGCGCUACUCCUUUUUGGUGAGAGGGAAACCUCGAGGCUAUGUUAUUCCAGGGAGAGGGUUAAGACAAGAAGACCCUCUGUCUCCUUAUCUUUUUCUGUUAGGAGCGGAGGGUUUCUCUGCAUUAUUACAACAGAAGCUAGAGGUUGGUCUUUUACCUGGGAUUCAGAUUUGUGAGGGAGCCCCAUCAGUAAACCAUUUACUCUUUGCAGAUGAUAGCAUGCUCUAUGCAAAUGCUACAGUUAAUACUUGUCUUCAAAUUCAGGAAGUUAUUGAUACAUAUGGUAGAGCAUCAGGACAACUUGUCAAUUUUGAAAAAAGCUCAGUAGUUUUCAACAAAAAUGUGCAGGAGGAAGUGAAGGAGGAUCUAGCUACUCUGAUGAGGGUACCAAUAGUGAGCUGUCACGAAAAGUAUUUGGGGUUACCUACAUAUGUUGGAAGGAAAAAAACAGCUACUUUCCAAUUCAUAAAGGAAAAGUUGUCAAAAAAAAUUUCCAAUUGGCAAGGAAAGCUGUUAAGUGGUGCAGGCAUGGAUAUCCUAAUUCGAGUAGUGGCUCAAGCACUUCCAACCUAUGUUAUGAGUGUGUUUCUGAUACAGAAGCGUAAUCACGACAGAAACAAGGUUUUGUCAAGCGUCGAAACCUUAUGGAGUNNNNNNNNNNNNNNNNNNNNNNNNNNNNNNNNNNNNNNNNNNNNNNNNNNNNNNNNNNNNNNNNNNNNNNNNNNNNNNNNNNNNNNNNNNNNNNNNNNNNNNNNNNNNNNNNNNNNNNNNNNNNNNNNNNNNNNNNNNNNNNNNNNNNNNNNNNNNNNNNNNNNNNNNNNNNNNNNNNNNNNNNNNNNNNNNNNNNNNNNNNNNNNNNNNNNNNNNNNNNNNNNNNNNNNNNNNNNNNNNNNNNNNNNNNNNNNNNNNNNNNNNNNNNNNNNNNNNNNNNNNNNNNNNNNNNNNNNNNNNNNNNNNNNNNNNNNNNNNNNNNNNNNNNNNNNNNNNNNNNNNNNNNNNNNNNNNNNNNNNNNNNNNNNNNNNNNNNNNNNNNNNNNNNNNNNNNNNNNNNNNNNNNNNNNNNNNNNNNNNNNNNNNNNNNNNNNNNNNNNNNNNNNNNNNNNNNNNNNNNNNNNNNNNNNNNNNNNNNNNNNNNNNNNNNNNNNNNNNNNNAGCAGGGCCUUAUAUAGGCAUAGAAAUAAACCUAAUCAUACUAGAACUAGGAAUCCUUUAUUCUAAAUAAAACUUAAAUCCUAAUAGAAAACAUAGAAAGUAAAAUAAUCCUAAUGCUGAUAGAAAAUAUGCAGGAACAAAGCUAUUGCUUUGCAGAUUCAAAGCUGCUGCUUUGACUUUGUUUUCUUUGCCUUCCUAGCAAGCUGUGUCUUAAAUAUUCGUGCAAGCUGUUUUAUAUCAGUCUCCUCCACUCUAGAACAACUUGACCUCGAGUUUAUGUCAGGAUAGAAAGCGUCAUCAUCAUCAGCUUGAUAGGCAUGUAUGUCACUAACGUUGAAGGUCUUGGAUAUUCCCAUAGUAUCUGGCAGAUCAAUGACAUAUGCAUUGUCAUUGAUUUUCUUGAUAAUUUUGUACAGUCCAUACUUCCUGGGCUUAAGCUUGUUGUAGGUGCCGAUAGGAAACCUUUCUUUUCUUAAGAAAAUCAUCACAGUGUCUCCUUUGCUAAAAAUCUUCUCACGCCGAUGAGAAUCUGCAAUAGCCUUGUACUUCACAUUAGUAACUUUCAGUUUCUGCUUAACCUCAUCUUGGACUCCCUGUACCUCUCUUGCCAUUGACGCAGCUGCUUCACUAAAGUCCUUAGCCUCUGGAACAGUAGCCAAGUCAACCACAAGCUUAGGAGGUGAAACAUACACCACUGAAAAUGGUGUCCUUCCAAUGGAGCUAUGAACUGAACCGUUAUAGGCGAACUCAACCUGAGGCAAAACAACAUCCCACUGCUUUGGCUUGUCUCCACAAGUACUCCGAAUCAUAUUCCCCAAUGUUCUAUUAGUAACUUCGAUCUGGCCAUCUGUUUGUGGAUGAGCGGUACUGCUUCGGUUGAGCGUAGUCCCAAAUAUCUUCCACAAAGUAAUCCAAAAGUGGCUUAGAAACUUGGUGUCUCAAUCAGAAGUAAUAGACUGAGGCACUCCAUGCAAACAGACCACUUCUUUAAAGAACAAUCUUGCAAUGUGAGAAGCGUCAGAUGUCUUCUUACAUUGUAUGAAGUGUGCCAUCUUUGAAAACCUAUCCACCACCACAAAUAUAGAGUCAACUCCUCGUUGUGUCCGAGGUAACCCUAAUAUGAAGUCCAUGGUGAGGUCUUCCCAAAUUCCCUUAGGUACUGGCAGAGGCAUAUAGAGUCCUGUAUUUUCAUAUCGUCCCUUAGAAGAUUGGCAAAUGUAACACUUACGGACGAUGUUUCCCACUUCUCGUUUCAGCUGAGGCCAAUAAUAUCUCUCCUCCAGACUCGCUAUAGUUUUAUCCCUGCCUAGAUGUCCACUUAAGCCUCCUCCAUGUAAUUCUCGAAUCAACAUCUCUCUAAGUGAAGACCUUGGUAUGCAUAUUCUAUUUCCUUGAAAAAGAUACCCUUCUUUGAUGAAGAAGUCGUUGCAGGGUUCUUGCUUCACACACUUGGCCCAAAUUUCUUUGAAGUCUUCAUCUUCCUCAUAAAGCUCUUUCAAAAAUUCAAACCAAAUAACCUAUUGAGAAAGUGUCACCAAUAGUUGGCUUCUUCGACUUAACGCAUCUGCAACACGGUUAAGUGUUCCAGACUUGUGCUUGAUCGCAAAAGGGAACUUUUGUAGGAAAGUAACCCACCGGAUACGCAUUUUGUUCACACUUCUUUGACUGUUGAUGUAUUUCAAGGCUUGAUGGUCGGUGUAUAGCACAAAUUCCCUCUGCACAAGAUAAUGUUCCCACUGUUUCAAGACCCGAACAACUGCAUAGAACUCUUAGUCGUAUGUACUCCACUUUUGCCUAGCUUCAUUAAGCUUCUCACUAAAAUACUCCACUGGCUUCCUUUCUUGAGAUAAGACAGCCCCUAUUUCUACCCCACAAGCAUCAGUUUCUACCUCAAAAAUCUUGUCAAAAUCAGGCAGAGCUAGUACCGGUGCUGUGCUUAACUUGUACCUAAUCAUGGCAAAACUCUUUUCCUAUUCUUCACCCCAUUGGAAUCUGCCUUUCUUCAGACAUUCUGUUAUUGGUGCAGUGAUAGCACUGAAAUUUGACACAAAGCGGCGAUAGAAGGUUGCCAAUCCAUGAAAACUUCGUACGUCACCAACUGUUUUAGGUGUAGGCCAUUCCUGAAUUGCUUUCACCUUGUCUUGGUCAACAUGUAUACCUUCUGAGCUAACCACAUAACCCAAAAACAAAAGUUUCUUGGUCAUGAAACUGCACUUCUUCAAGUUCACGUACAACUUAUUUUCUUGGAGAACUUCAAGAACUUUACGCAGAUGUUUCAAGUGUUCUUCCUUGCUCUUGCUGUAGAUUAGUAUGUCGUCAAAGUAUACUACCACACACGUCCCAAUAUAAGGCUUCAGGACUUGAUUCAUCACUCUCAUGAAAGUACUAGGUGCAUUAGAUAAUCCAAACGGCAUGACUAACCAUUCGUAGAGCCCAUCUUUGCUUUUGAAUGCCGUCUUCCAUUCAUCGCCUGGUUUGAUUCGAAUUUGAUGAUAUCCACUGCUCAGAUCAAUUUUAGAGAAUACUACUGAGCCACCUAGGACAUCCAACAUAUCUUCAAGUCGAGGAAUCGGAAACCGAUAUUUAAUUGUGAUCUUGUUGAUUGCACGGCUGUCCACACACAUCCUCCAGCUCCCAUCCUUCUUUGGUACUAGCAAAACAGGCACUGCACAAGGGCUCAUGCUUUCUCGAAUGUAUCCUUUUCGUAGCAACUCUUCAAUUUUCUCUUUAAGUAUCUCAUUCUCCUUAGGGCUCAUCCGAUAAUGAGGGAGGUUAGGUAAACUAGCUCCAGGGACAAGAUCGAUUUAGUGUUGGAUAUCUCGCAUAGGAGGUAGUUCAUUUGGAAGAUCAUCAGCCAAUAAUUCUUUGAAAUCCUGCAGUAAUUGCUGGACUUCUUUUGGAAUUUUCUUCUCCUCUUUGUUGUUCUCAGCCACCAUUACUUCCCUAACCACCAAAGGAUAAAUAGCUUCUGCAUCCUUCACAAGUUCUUCCACCUUUUCACCAGAUUCAGCAACAAUAAGAAAGCUAGACUCUUUUGGUGAAACCAGAUUUGUAGGCUUGGUCUUAGGCUUCAAAGUAAUAUGGUGUUUUUCCCAUAUGAACGAUACUGUGUUUUCUCUUCCAUUGUGGAUAGUGUUGACAUCAUGCUGCCAUGGUCUGCCUAGAAGUACGUGGCUGGCGUCCAUGUCUACCACGUCACAUUCAACAACAUCUUGAUAGAAUUUCCCAAUUGAAAUUGGCACUUUACAUGUUUCGGUCACUACAAAAAAGAAUUCAGUUAGCCACGGCAAGAUGCCGUCUCCAAAAGCCACUUUGCCGUGGCCAAAGAGCAACGGCGACGGCUUAGCGACGGCAUUUUUUCCAUCGCCGUUGAGGGCGUGGCCGUUGCUUUUGGCUACGGCAACGAGCCGUCGCCAAAUGGUGGCAAUGGCAUGCAACGACUGCAAAGGCCGUCGCAAAGUUGUAUUUAUGAAUUAAAAAAAAAAUCAUCUGCAAGCAUAGCUUGUCAGAUUUUUUUUUUUUUGGACAAAAGCUGUGCAAAAAGAAAUUAAACAUAUUAGAAAAAGAGUUGUUACACUGAUUAAAUGUCUCAAAAUUACUGCCAAUCUUACAUCAAAACUAUCAAUACAAGCACAUCAAGCUCUAACUGUUUCUACCAAUUAGUUCCUUGACACAAGCACAAAACUAACUAAGUGCAACCAACUAAGCUAAAGCUUUCAGAACCAAAGUUUCAAUUGUAUAUCACUAUACCAACAAUAGAGAUUCUUUAGUAGCUACUGCUUGGCUUCCAUCAGUGACAUAAACAUCUUGAACAUCACGACUAUCUCAAAUACAUAUGACCACAUGCACUUAUGUCAAACCUGAAAGGAAAAGUUCAAUUAUAACAUCUAUCAGACUGAGGGAAGUUUGAACUUCAGCCAUUGAAAGACUAACAAUGAAUCUCUAAGACAUGAUAGAGAGGAAUAAGUUCUUAGAGCAGCAAAAUCUAUAUGGCAUGACAACGACUGAGUAGACAUUAGUUAUCUUAGUACGGUAGAAAAGGUACCAAGAACAUUCAGUCAGAAAAGACUAAAUUUAACUAUGCACCCAAGUUUCAAUUGUUUUGUUUUGUCCAGAAAAAAAAUACCGAUUUGCAUAGUUAAAAACAAUAAACUGUAGUUGUAGAGCACUAUUUACUACAGCUAUUAUUUACCCCAUAGGUCAUCGAUUAUACAUGACUGCUAAUUGUAGAGCACCAGUUGUAGAGCACAUCACACACACAAACACAGACACAUAUAUUUAUAUAUAAUACAUAUAUAAUGUAUAUAAUCAAUUUAUGAUCAAGAAAUCAUUAAAAAAGAGAUAUGCCACGGUACCUUUUUAUUAGAUAAGUUGGUGGAACUUGCUAUAACACCACUAUAACACCACAAGAUAAUUCCUUAACAGGCAUGGUGUAAAGAUCUUCAUUGUACAUAUCUACUAUAUCAGCCAAUAAUCCAACCUGCAAAUUUCGUAAAUAAGAAUCAAAUUAAAGUAGCAAGCAUGUCAUAUGACUGGUAUAAGAUACACAUAAAUAUUAUAGACGUAAAUUCCAAUGUGGCUCUAUCGCUAAGAGAGAGAUAUGAAAAGAUAGCGAAACAAAGAGACACUACACAGAAAAAAUGAAUUCACCUCAUUGAAGUAUCGUAUGAGCAAAUUCUUUAUGAUCUUAAUAUAUAUGUAUGUACCAAUUGCAAAAGAUCUUAUGAAUCACCUAAAUCAGACAUCAUUCCAUACUGAAAUUACCUAAACAACAUAUGGCCCUAAUCAAGCAUUCAACAUUUAAAACUUCAUUGAUCAAGCUAAGAAAGCUCAAAGUAGAUGAAGCUAGGGUCAUGUCUCUGAACAUCAUUGCCUACUGGAUAUGCUGAAGGAGCUGAAAAAUAAUUUUGUUGUACUAAACAACUCACAAAAUUACAACUAAAAGUUACCAGAGUGUUGUACAGUGACACUUGUGUGUAUGGAUUGUAUAACAGAGAUAACUAAACAACGAUUCAAGCUUAAUUUUCAAGAAGAAAAAGAAAUCCUGAAGCUAUUUAACUAGACACCAUGCAAGGAUAGUGAACCAAUGAAUAGUCUUGAUAUAUAACAAAACACACAUGCAGAAGAAAUCCAUCAAACUAGAACCUAUGAAAGAAGACAUUUGGGAGUCUCAACUCGACAGUGCAUAUGUUCGUCUCUAAUAUGGGGAAAAGAAAGGGGAAACACACUCAAAUAUUCUGACACCAAAGACUCCAACACACAUACAUGUAAUUUAUCUUCCUGCUCCAUGAUACUAAGGAAUGCCAUUAAAUCAUGCAAAUUAAGGUAUUAAAAAAUUGAGAUAAGUUUCAGCACCAUAGAGAAUAGAAAUGAAGGAAACCAAUGAUUGGAAAUCCCACAAACUAAUGGCAAAAAAAAAUAACUCUAAUAGGCUAUAGAUCAAAGACUUACCCAUGAAAACUGAGCAUUACGAAACUUGUUAUUAAUGUCUGCCAAGUGAGAAUCCAGAGGAGUGAGCUUCAACAACCUUGGGGCAGAAAUCCUAUUCUCCAUACGCCCAGCAAAGCCGGUCUUUGUCUUCCCAUCCUUAUCAGUAAACAUGGUACAGAUGAGUAUCAAAUAGGUCUUUCUCCUAAUUCAUUGUAUCAAACUAACCUAUAUUCCUCCAGAAUGCACAAAACCAGGCCUCAGAAACAUGAACAACGUAUAUACAAAAAUUGCAGCAGUAAUUAGAACCAAGAGCAAUAAUAAGAAGCAAACAACUCACCAAGAUACCUCAGAAAUCACAGACAUUUAUGAGAAACCACACUGAGAUGACAAAAUUAGGGAUUCGAAACCUCACCCAAUCAGAUUCUAGAAGGCCAAAACCCAUAGAUCGAGCGUCGGUCAUCCUCACAAAGAAGAGAGAAAAGCAUAGAUGAGAAUUCUGGAGGAGAGAGACAGUGGAUCUGGAGGACUCUCUCCUCUAUCAUCGAUCUCUAACCAUCACGGUGGACUCACCAUAUACCGUAGCCACCAUCUUCGCCUUCCUCCGAUGAGUCAAGGCCAGGCUGUGUCCUCCGACCAUAACUCUAUCCAGUCCACCAAGACCACCCCUGAGAUGAGCAAAAACAAAUCUUUGCAGAUUCAUUCUUUAAAGAUUUGUGGGGAGAGAGAGAGAUAGGCUAGGGUUUCAGACUUUUGUUUAGAGGGAGAGAGAUCCGGCUUUGGUGAGAGCGAGAGUGAGAAAGAAAUGAAUUAUGUACAGAACUACAGAUGCAGCUUUGGGUUUCAGAUUUUCAAUUGUGUACAAGAUUUAACCUAGCAUACCGCUUUUUUACAUUUUUGAGACGGUGUUUGUUUACCGUCGCAAACUCCUAUAAAUUUAGCAACGGCACGUUUGCUGUCACUAUGCCGUGGCAAAUGUUGGACCAACUGCGACGGCAAAACUAAGCCGUGGCAAACUUCGAUGGCUAACUGAAUUCUUUUUUGUAGUGGGUGAUACGAACUUUUGGGCCUUUCUUGAUCCAUCCAAUGGCAUAUGGAGCUCUAUGUUUCAUAGUAAGAAGGUUGAAGUGUUCCACCACUUUCUUUGAGAUGAAGUUCUCACAACUUCCACUGUCUAUUAUCAAUGACAUAGGCUUUUCUUUGAUAGUGUAUGUACUCCGAAAGAUACUAUGUCGCUGGUUUUCUUGUUUUGUUGAACACAACAGCCGUUGAGUAACUAAAUUGUACUCCCUGUUAUCACCAGAAUAUUCUUCUGCUUCCUCCACCACCUCGUCUUCUUCUUCUUCUUCUUCGUGUUGUUCAUCAUCUCCUUCUAUGAAGUUAACAAGGCGCUUUUUAAUCUUUUCAGCCUUUUCAGUUUGCCGUAGAGGACAUUGACUAGAGAUGUGCCUUGGUUUGCCGCAUUUAAAGCAUGUAUUCAAACAAGGCCUAGUGUACGAGUCUGAGUUACUUGUACUGCUUUGAGAAUACCUUUUGGUUUGACUGCUGACCUUGCUGCCACCCUCUAUGGGUUUGUUGGAAAUACUAAGAGGCUUGGUUGCAAUGCUUUCUUUGGUUCUGCUGAAAGUUGCUGUGUCAUUCCAGCUCCGUCAGUUAUUUGUUGUUGCAAUGGUGCUUUUUGCAAGCUUUUCAACUUUCAAGGCCAUCUUGUGAGCUUCUCCAACAUCCUUGAAUGUAAGCAACCCAAUUUUGUCCUGAAUUUGUGGAUUUAAUCCCCGUAUAUAUCUUGCAACUUGUUAAGCUUUAGUCUCUUUCAAUUUGUUUCGUUCUGCAAGCCGAUAGAAAUCGGUUGUGAAGUCUUGGACUGAUCUGUUCUCUUGAGAAACCCCUUGGUACUGCUCAAAUAAUGUUUGCUCAUAAUCAUCUGGCAGGAAUCUUUCUUCCAAGAGCAUCUUCAUAACUUCCCAGGUUACAAUUGGAGCCAAGCCUGACUCGAAUCGCUCUUCUUGUAUUUGCUGCCACCAAUGCCCUGCAAUACCUUUUAGUUUAUAAGCUGCAUACUUCACACGCUUGUUUGCAGCGAUUCCCAUAAGCUCAAAGAACCUCUCAACUUCCAUAAGCCAAUCCAAGAACUCGUCAGCAUUUAAAUUUCCAAUGAAGUUAGGGAUAUCAGCCUUAAUCUUAAAGUCUUCGCCUCCUUGACGUCGUUGAUAAGUAGGUUCCCUUUCAUUGAAGUUGGCAAAUUCAAUGAGUUCUCGUUGUGCAGUUUCUUCAAAGUCUUGGUCACGUUCAAACCCUCCGAUGCGUCGACCUCCUUGUUGAUGGCCACGUCUACGGGCGAAUCCCAUAGCACGUUUAUCAUCAAUUCCCAUGUGGCAUUCUCGGCGAUGUCCACGACCUCCGGCAAAUCCGUUAGUGCGAUGAGCAUCUCCUAUUGGAUUUACGUUCAUCUGUAAAAUUAAUUGUCGAAUUUCCUCUGUUGCAUCUUGCACUGAUUCUCUCACAAAAUCUUGUGUCUGCUGUCGGAAGAUUUCGAAUUGGUCAGCUACAAGUUUCAAAUGAUCCCGUAAAUCCUUCUGAAUGUCUUUAAUCGCACGACCAGCGUCGGCGAAGUUGGUGAUGGUGAUUUCGUCCACUGAAUCGUUUCCCAUUGAGCGGGCGAAUCCCGGCUCUGGUACCAAAUGAUACGGAAGCGUAAUCACGAUAGAAACAAGGUUUCGUCAAGCGUCGAAACCUUAUGAAGUAAGCUAGAAUCCACUAGCAAAACACAGGCACAAGCCUAAAACACAAAAAUUUCUACUCUAAUUUUUUUGGGUUUUCUUAUUGAUAACUUGAAUGAAAAUACAAUUUAGCGGGGGCCUUAUAUAGGCAUAGAAAUAAACCUAAUCAUACUAGAACUAGGAAUCCUUUAUUCUAAAUAAAACUUAAAUCCUAAUGAAAACAUAGAAAGUAAAAUAAUCCUAAUGCUGAUAGAAAAUAGGCAGGAACAAAGCUACUGCUUUGCAGAUUCAAAGCUGCUGCUUUGACUUUGUUUUCUUUGCCUUCCUAGCAAGCUGUGUCUUAAAUGUUCGUGCAAGCUGUUCUAUAUCAGUUUCAACUAACAAAAAAUUUUUGUGAAGAUUUGGAGCAGCUUUGUGCUAAAUUCUGGUGGGGCAGUACUUCAGAGAAGAGGAAGAUACAUUGGAAAACAUGGAAAGCUCUAUGUUCUCCUAAGGAAGAAGGUGGCUUAGGGUUCAGAAGUCUUACUGAGUUUAAUUCGGCUAUGCAUGCAAAGCAAGCUUGGAGGAUAGUGAAAAAUCCAGAAUCGUUGGUGGCUAGGCUGUUUAAAGCCAAGUACUUCCCGGGCCACUCUUUUUGGUCUGCUCCUACACAUACUUCCCCAUCGUUUUCAUGGAGAAGUGUGUUCUCAACUCGGUCACUAUUGGUGGAAGGAAGCUACUGGCAGAUAGGUAAUGGCAAAUCAGUUAACAUAAUGGAAGAUGCAUGGAUCCCAGGCAUUCCGAACUUUAAACCCCCUGUGGAUUCAGUGUUGCAGAACAAUGGUUUUGGGGUGGAUAAACUGUUAUGUUCGAGUGGUGGAUGGAAUGAAAUUAAAGUUUAAUCCGGGCAAGUUUUACUGAAGAAGUUGCUUCUGCUAUUAUUGCAAUUCCCUUAUCAAGUUGUGUGGUGGAGGAUAGAGUUGUGUGGAGAUUGGAAAAGCAGGGUAGAUUUUCGGUGAAAACAGCUUAUAGACAUUUGUUUGCUCAUUCCAUAGAUUACCAACCUAGCAACCUACAGGUAGGAGGCAAGUUUUAGAAAAAGGUAUGGGGAGUUCAUAUACCAAAUGGAGCAAAGGUGAAUUUUUGGCGUGUUUGUAAUAAUAUCCUUCCCUCCCUAGAAAGGCUUCAGUCAAAGCAUGUGGAGUUGGAAUCUAUCAGCUGUCCGUUGUGUUUGAAUGAAGCAGAAUCUACAAUACAUUUGUGCUGUGAUUGUUCCUUCACCAAAGAAGUCUUGGGUACUAGUUCGGAGUUAACACAGGUUUGUCAAGAUCCUGAUUUUGUUUCUUUGAACUUAAUUGAGUGGCUGAAUUUAUGCUCAAGAGUACUAUCUGUGACUUCUUUGGGAGAUUUGAUCUUCUUGUUAUGGGGAGUGUGGAUGGAGAGAAAUAAUAGGGUGUGGAAGGAGAAGUCUAGUACUGUUGUAGAUACUGUUAUAGCUGCUAUGGCGAGACUGCAAGCUUUUAGAGCUAUGGGUUUAAAUGUCAAAGGGAGUAGGCCUAAUGAUCGAGUUGAGAUGUGGAAGCCCCCACCAUUUGGUCUAUACAAGAUUAACGGGACCGGUGCGGCAGUCUCAAGCGGCCGGACGGCGGCGGACGAGUGGCCUGAAGGUUUGGCAGCGGGAGGACUCGGGGAGAGAGAGGACCGGGAAAAAAAAGAGGGAAGAGAGAAAUGGGUUUAGGCCUCUAACCCCAAACCGGCCAACACUUAAUAUGUCAAAACCCAAUUCCAAAAUUUACACCCCAAAAUAAUACCAUAAUAAAAAUUACCUUUUACUAGCUAAAAUUUACCAUUUUUACCGUCGUCACAUUUUUCUCCUACGAAUAAUUCUCCGCAAAUAACCGUCCCUCAAACCCCUCUAGGGACCAAUUAAAUUAUAACCUCAAUGACGGAGACGGUAAAAUUCUUAUUAUAACCAAGCUAGUAAAUGAGGUAAAAAUUUAAGGGUCGGGAUGUGAUAAUUCUCCCCUCCUUAUAAAAAUUUCGUCCUCGAAAUUUACAUACCUUUCAUUCAAAGAGUUAGGGAUACUGCUGCAUCAUUUGCUCAUCUGAUUCCCAAGUAGCUUCUUCUACUUGAUGACUUCUCCAUAGCACCUUGACAAGUGGGAUUGACUUGUUCCUAAGCACUUGCUCCUUUCGAUCGAGAAUUUGAACCGGAUCCUCUUCAUAAGACAAAUCUUUCGUCAAACUAAUCGGCUGCUCUUGCAGCACAUGAGAAGGAUCGGCAAUAUACUUGCGAAGCAUGGAUACAUGAAACCCAUUAUGUAUCUUGGAUAACUCCAGGGGCAAAACUAACCGAUACGCAAGAGAGCCAACUUGAUCUAAAAACCCAUAAGAACCAAUAAAUCUCGGACCAAGCUUUUCACGUUACCAAAACGUACCACCCCUUUCCAAGGAGACAAUUUCGAAAAACAGCCAAACACUCACUUGAAACUCAUGAUCCUUCUUGCGGACAUCUUUAUAACUCUUCUGGCUACUAAGAGCUGCUUUGAGUCUAUCUCUGACUCCUUUAACCUUUUCAUUUCUCAAAGACACUAAAUCCUUCGUUGAACUACCACUAACGUUUGCACGUAAGUGAGUUCAGUGAUAUCUCACUACCAAGACAAGCACUUUAGCCGACGAAAAAUUUUCGUCGGCCUGUUAGCUUAAUUCGUCGGCUAAGAACUUAGCCGACGAGCCAUCGUCGGCUAAGAUUUCGUCGGGAAAAGCUCGUCUGUGAUGACUUUAGCCGACGAAAAAAAAAUUUCGUCGGCUAUAGUCCCGCAGUUUAGCCGACGAAAAACAUGUCGUCGGUUUUUUUCUCAGACUUUAGCCGACGAAACAAUUAAGAUAUUCGUCGGCUAAAGUCUGUAAUAAAAAAUUUUUUCCNNNNNNNNNNNNNNNNNNNNNNNNNNNNNNNNNNNNNNNNNNNNNNNNNNNNNNNNNNNNNNNNNNNNNNNNNNNNNNNNNNNNNNNNNNNNNNNNNNNNNNNNNNNNNNNNNNNNNNNNNNNNNNNNNNNNNNNNNNNNNNNNNNNNNNNNNNNNNNNNNNNNNNNNNNNNNNNNNNNNNNNNNNNNNNNNNNNNNNNNNNNNNNNNNNNNNNNNNNNNNNNNNNNNNNNNNNNNNNNNNNNNNNNNNNNNNNNNNNNNNNNNNNNNNNNNNNNNNNNNNNNNNNNNNNNNNNNNNNNNNNNNNNNNNNNNNNNNNNNNNNNNNNNNNNNNNNNNNNNNNNNNNNNNNNNNNNNNNNNNNNNNNNNNNNNNNNNNNNNNNNNNNNNNNNNNNNNNNNNNNNNNNNNNNNNNNNNNNNNNNNNNNNNNNNNNNNNNNNNNNNNNNNNNNNNNNNNNNNNNNNNNNNNNNNNNNNNNNNNNNNNNNNNNNNNNNNNNNNNNNNNNNNNNNNNNNNNNNNNNNNNNNNNNNNNNNNNNNNNNNNNNNNNNNNNNNNNNNNNNNNNNNNNNNNNNNNNNNNNNNNNNNNNNNNNCCGACGUACUUUUCAUAUAUUUCGUCGGCUAAAGUCCUUUGAAAAAUUUUUCCCUCCUAAAAUUUGGUUUACCGCCUGAAAAUUUUUGACCUUAGCCGACGUACUUUUUUAAUAUCUCGUCGGCUAAGUCUAUAAAUUCACGAAAACGCUCAUAUCUCCCUCUAUAUUACGUAGUUUGGUCAAACCUUCCACACGAAAAACUUUCACGUAGAUGAGACGCAACCGCCUAUAUAAAAAUUUUGAGACAUUUGCCUUCCGACGAUAGGGCUCCCCAUAGAGAAUAAUAACGGUAAAUAGGGUUGACCGCUACUAUCGGCACCGAGACUUUACCCGAUUUACGUGAUUUUUGAACCAUAGCCGUAUUUCACCAUUCUGAACACAUCUUAUUUCACGAGAUUUUUAAUAAUUUUGCUUUCUUUUUAGAGUUGGUUCACAAAAUUGUAUAACCUACUAAACAAGUUAUACAACAUUAGUAGACACGUUGUGAUUCCGAUGACUAAAAUUCACAAACCAAAAUUCGACCGUCAGAUAUGAUCAUUAUGACGAAAGAUGUCUAUGGUAAAAAAUUCAACUGGAUCCGACAACGUUAAGGACUCGAUCGAAACGGGUAACCCUAAUCCAUCCUCACUUAUCACACGAAAACGCUAAUAUCUCCCUCUAUAUUACGUGGUUUGGUCAAACAUUCCACACAAAAAACUCUCACGUAGAUGAGACGCAACUGCCCAUAUAAAAAUUUUGAGACAUUUACCUUCCGACGAUAGGGCUCCCCAUAGGGAAUAAUAACGGUAAAUAGUAGACACGUUGUGAUUCCGAUGACUAAAAUUUACAAACCAAAAUUCGACCGUCCGAUAUGAUCAUUAUGAUGAAAGAUGUCUAUGGUAAAAAAUUCAACUGGAUUCGACAACGUUAAGGUUCAGCUGGAGUCAACUCUAAUCGGAAAUAAGAAAACUGCAUUUUGAAGCCAUAAACGGACUCGGAUGGCCAAAAAGGCCCAUACAUCAUGGCCUUAGCCAUGAGUUUGACUCGUAGGGCCGUUACACUUCCAGAAAGGUAUCACAAUAGUCAAUCGGACACCAAAAACCAAAUCUGCAGCAUAGUGAAUAAUAAGGGUAAAUUGCAUUGACCGCAACUAUCGGCACCGAGACUUUACCGGAAUACCGUGAUUUUUCAACCGUGGACGUAUUUCACCAUUCUGGUCAUAUCUUAUUUCACGAUUUUUUUGCGUUUGAAGGUUCUACGUAUAGUUUUUUUUCUCAGAUGAGUUGUUGUCUAGAUCUGCAAAUAUAAGGCACUUUAGCCGACGAAAUUAAGGCACUUUAGCCGACGAAAUUAUAUUUUUCGUGGGCUAAACUUUUAAAAAUUUCGUCGGCUAAAGUUCACAGAGUAUAGCCGACGAAAAAAAUUAUUUAGACGGCGAAAUUUUAAUUUCGUCGGCUAAAAUUGACCAUAGCCGACGAAAAUUUUUAAUUAGCCGACGAAGGGAAAUUUUAGCCGACGAAAAAAUAAUUUGUCGGCCUGGUUUUUUUAUUUUCGUCGGCUAAAGUCUUUCUUCUGGUAGUGUCUGCUCUAGAGUACGAGUACCCGUAGGUAUGCACACUCUUUCCUGAGCAAUAGAAAUAGCUAACCCAAAUAAAAACGCAUAAAUUUGCUAUCACCAUCGGGCUCAAAUCUCCUAACGUCAUGCAACAACCUCAUCAUUACGCUGCUCACAGCUCGACAAUGAAGCCCACUUGCUAGGAAACUAAAGUUCACACAUUCCCACAUGCUCAUAGGGGUCAAAAUUAAGACCCGCUAAUUAAACAGAUUUUUAAGGAUGCACCCACUGCAGAACUGCAACAAUCACUUCUAAUGCCGACACAUUUCGUAGGGUCUUUCGCAGAGUCAAAGCUCUCGCAAGUCCACAAGACAACCUUGCUCUGCCUAAGAGACCAGUCCACCAACAUAUGAUAAUCUCGAUUCUCGAAAUAACAUUAUGAAAAGAUCAAUACCACGUCACUUAGGUCUCUUCACCAAAACUAUUACAUUAUCUUUUUGAACACCACAAACUAGCAGCUUAUGAGAAUUUCAACUCUCUCUUGAUUUUGCUAUCUCCACUAUUCUCUUUACCACAAACCAGAAGAUAAUUUGAAACAUGACUAUCAUGUGGAAACUGGAUAUUCCUCCUUGCUCGCUAUAAGCAAAAACCAACUAAUUAUGGCCAUGAAAAAUUGGCACACAUCCAAUUCAUGAUGCUCAACUUGACGUUGAAAUCCACAUAAAUAGAACACCUUCCUUAAGCAUUGACAAAAAAAUUUACAUCUUCAGCCAUGCUACUUAUUCGGUUACAACCGUGACCCCAAAUUCAAUAAUUAAAAGCACACGGCUCACUCUAGCCAUUCCAUAAGAAUGAUUCAUCCUGACACCAAUGGAUGAACGCACAACCAAAAAGCGAAGACCUCCCAAAUCAAACUUGGAUCAAUGAGUGGUCCCACCACAAAACGAUCCCGAGAAGAGACGUUGAUCAACCUAUCAAUAAAUAUACUAUUCACCGUAAUAAGUAUCUUAAUAAACCUUGACUCGAAAAGCUUCUUGAGUCAACAGGGGAAAAACCUUCUCUCAUAAAGCUACAUCAUUAAAUAUACCUACAACGACACAAACCAUCUAAUCAACAUCACCACACGACUCUUAGACUACCACAUAGGACUUUUGGCUCCAAGAUUCAUCGCUUAAUUAAACUCCAGCUCACUUGGGAUCACGACUGGAUUUAUCCAGGAUCCAUGCCUACGACACAACAACCAAUUUAUCAUUUACCUCGAAACUUUGACAAAAUAACCAGAAUCUCUAACCUUCAAAUUGAAGAAUUUGAAUUCGCACUCCAAAAUUUCAAGCUCUGAGGACGCUACCCAAAACUACAGCAGAAAUAAUUUAUACAUUUCCAACACACCACAACUAAAACUCUAAUCCACUUCACCAAAUUAAAAAUAAGGUGAGAACAGAUCCUCCCAUUGUUGUGUCGUAGUUAGUCACCCAUUGCGAACAAAAUGAUGACAAAAACCAACUUCGAUCACAACUUUGAGACUUACAUCAACCACCCAGAACGACACUGCUUAAAAAAAAUUACUUUGGACACCCACGCACUCUUGCUCUAGGAUCCAGUGGGUUUUAUUCCACUGCUACCACUUCCACCAACUCCACACAACUGCUAAAGAACACCAAUGACAACACAUAUUAAAUUCACCAGGUGUUGUCGUAAAACCGAAGUAACCACAACAAUCCCGCUCUCACUCCACCAUUACUUUUCAAUUCCAUUACAUUAUCAUCUUCCCAAACACUCAACAAAUCUGGAAACCAAACUUCAACACCUAGAGUUCUGAAAGAAUCUACAAUGGCCCCACGAUUAAAUUAAUAAAAUCAACAUCUCACUUCACGAUUCCAAACUUGCUUAAAACUCAAACCAUUUAGUGCCACCAUUCAAUUUCUAAAAUCUCCCGACUGUGGCACGACAACAAGUUGUCACAACACACUGACCAAUGACUUUUGAAAAACCAACCUAAGGAAAAGCAAUUCAAGUCAUUACACAUAGUGCUUAAACAAACUUCAACUAACCCACAAUAGCGACCAAAAUCAUCAGAAAUCUUACUAUACAUCGAUUAUUAUUAUCCGUCAUUUCCAAAAGAUAUUACCACCACCAUCUUAAUAAAUUGCUCAAAAGAUAAAAACUUAUCCAUAAUUAGAGUUGUAAGAACCAGAAUAUGUGCUGACAUAAUCAGCAUUAUUCCAAAAUGUUCUCAACUGCUUUCUACUGCGGAAAAACAUAGUCGGCAAAAUGGCCUUCAAUCAUGACUUAUCUAAAUUGACAUUUAGCUCUUUAUGCAGCAAUGCCUUACCACCCAAUCAUUAGCCACAAAUUCCCUAAAACCUUAUUUAACCCAAGACUAGGGUCCUUAACAACUCAUAUAGGUACCCCUUUGAAUUACCAUUGGAUACCUCACCUCAUCAUUUCAACUAACUUUUACAUCAAUAGAAUACACCACUACUUCGAACUUUCCUUCCAACUCGACUCUCUCAAAAGUCACGUAACUCAAUACCAAAAUCUCCCAUCAAUCAAUUUUUGAUUCCAAUCUUGCCCACUAAAAAUGGACAACUCCUAGGCAUUAAUCAUCAACAUUUCACCCAACAGAUUUGCACAAGAUGCUCACUUUAGCAUAUUAAUCUGAAACCUUAAUCUUAACCCAAUCAAUCAUUCGAUACCUGAAAGGAAUGCUAACAAGCUUUUUCGUUCCCCACUCGCAAAUAAACUCCAACCAUUAAUAUCAAAGAUAUUAAAUUAAGGACUAAUUUCAGUUUACCCCCAUCAACUUUAAGUCGAUCAUCAUGUUAGUCCUUCUUCUUUCAAUUUCAUCAAAAACACCCCUCAACUCCCAAUUUUCAUCAGCUGCGCAUGUCCAAACCUCUAAUCUCCAUUCAAUUCCUCUGUCAAGUGAUGACUUGAUAUCAAGAAGAAAAUCAAAUUAUAAAAGUUACCUUUCGGACCAUUUUUCCCCCAUAUCGAUACACAUCUUUGUUCCAAUCACAACCCCCUAACCUUAGUGAUUUUGGUGGGAUUGAAUGCAAUUUGUCUAUUUUUCCUUUUUUCUUUCUUCUUGAUAUCAAGUCAUCACUUGACAGAGGAAUUAGUUGGAGAUUGGAGGUUUGGACAUGCGCGGCUGAUGAAAAUUGGGAGUUGAGGGGUGUUUUUGAUGAAAUUGAAAGAAGAAGGACUAACAUGAUGAUCGACCUAAAGUUGAUGGGGGUAAACUGAAAUUAAUCCUUAAAUUAAUGAACCUUGGAAUAGGUGCAAACUAUACACCUUUUCAAAACUCGAAUGAUGAACACUCAAGAGGUCGGCGUACGGAUUCAUAGUCUUGAAGAUAUAGACAUUUAUGGAUAAUACUGUCCAUAGAUAAGACAAGAAUUACUAUAUCACAAACCUAAGCAACACAUAGUGUCUAAAGCAUAUAAUGCUAAUAGAUCCACCGCGGUCGGACCAUCACUCUAUAGACAUUAAGUAUGACCAAGAAUAUGAGGUAGUACUAAAAGAGAAAGGAAUCGAAUAACCUAGUGCUCUGAUACCAACUAUCAGGACCCACCCCGAAUUUCACCCUGAAACCCGAAGUAAAUCCUGCGGGGACCAUCUCCAACGAAAAUUUACCGAAAAUUCGGCAUAACCUCCCUUGAAAAUGGACAACCCUUCCUAAAAAAAAACCUGCAAACACUUCUGAAAUUUUAAAUCCAACCAUAAACUCCUGGAGCCUUCGUGCUCCCCAAAUCACAACACCACCCAAAUUAAAUACUAACUUUAAACAAAUCUCAUAACCAACCAUUUAUAGGUUCAGAGCAAUUCUAACUGAGAGGAAAAUAAUUAGAAAUUUAGAAAUGAGCGGAAGCUAUACUAUUGACUAUGCCUCUUCUCCAUGUACGCCCGAUCUCAACUAGGCCAACCUGCCAACUAGGCAUUUUAAAACGAAUGGCCCAAGGGAAAACAUUUGAAACACGUUAGAGUGAGUGGACAAAAAUAAAUUAAUAAAUAUUUAUGCAUUCCCAAUUUGAAUUUCAUAGAAAAUAUAUUGCAUGCGGCAGCUCAAAAGCUCUCAACUCAACGAUUGGCAAUUUCGUGACUGGCUCCGGCUAGUCUCCAAACUUAACAAAGAUAAAGCCUCUCAGGCUAAAUUAUAUAUAAAAAUAUAUAUAUAUAUAUAUAUGUGUGUAUGUAUUUAUACUUGUCAUACUCAUUGUAUGAAUUCUAUGAAGGAAUAAGCAAAAUAGAAAUUCAUACAAAACUACUACGCUUACGUCUAACGCUCACGUCAGACCAUAAUGAAAUUUUUCCUCAUUAUGGCGGAAAAGCACGAGUGUAUAUACGUGUGGACCCCUCUAUGAAAACCUAUAUGAACCAGAAAAGAAAAUAGUUUUCAUAUAGGACUACUACGCUUGUGUCUAACACACAUGUCACGCCAUAAUGGUAUUUUACCUCAUUAUGAUGGAUCAAACACGUAUGGCUAGCUAGCAUUUAUAUACACAUACUAUCCUCAUAAACAUUCAAUAAACAUAUCCACCAAAAAUCUCAUUUCCGGGAACUCUCCAAAAGAGAAAAAUUGUCAAAUAUCCAAGAAAUAAAUAAAUCUUAGCAAAAGAAAUAAAUGAUCAACAAAAUAAUUCAUCGCAUGCUUUUCAAUUAAAACAAAGGUCCACUCACAACUUUAGGCCUCAGCCUGACGCCGAUCCGACUUCUGCUUGAUCCUCCUCACGUCCUGUUUCCAAAUGUAAGCCUGACGUCGAUCCGAGGUCUCUUCUGCUUGAGCCUCCUCACGUCCUGUUUCCAAAUGUAUAAUUAAUUUCCCAUUUUAAAAAAAUUCAAUAGUUAAACAAAAUGGGCAAAAUUAAACGUGAGCCUCCCACACACUCAUCAUUGCCCAACUUCGCCAUUCUUAACUCAAUAUGGCUCAAACUUCACCGAACAUACCGGCAACCUUAAUUCAACCUUCUACGGAUUAAUGACUUAAAUCCUACAGCUGAAUUCUACAUUAAUUAACCGACAAAAAAAAACCAAACUUCGGAAAUUCACAAACCUAUCCAAAACUCAUCCAAAAAUUCCAUAAUUCAUAUCAAUAAACUCCCCUUAAUAUUCCAUAUUUAAAACCAUACAAAACUCCCAGACAGCGGCGGCCGGAGGCCGAUUCCGGCGACCUCCAAUUCCUACCAAAUUUUAACAGUAGCUUCCUCUCCACUCCCUCUACAACUUUCCUAACUAGCACAAACCCAAAAUUCAAGCCUAGCUAUGCCAAUCGAACAGAAACACCAAAAACGUCCUAGAACUUCCACCUCAAAUUUCUCCUUACCUGAAGCGAACCGGAGUGACUCCUUUUAGGGCAAGGCAGCAAAAUUGUACCGGAGGAGGAAGUUCCGGCGAAGGAGAGCUUUGGAUAGCCGGAGGUUCCAGGCGUCGAUUCUCUCUCACGGUGGCGCUAGGGGGGCUGUCACCGGCCUAGAAUGGAAGCUAGGUUGGAGGCCGACCGAACGGGACCGGUGCGGCAGUCUCAGGCGGCCGGACAACGGCGGACGAGCGGCCGGAAGGUUUGGCAGCGGGAGGACUCGGGGAGAGAGAGGACCGGGAAGAAAAAGAGGGAAGAGAGAUAUGGGUUUGGGCCUCUAACCCCAAACCGGCCAACACUAAAUAUAUCAAAACCCAACUCCAAAAUUUACACCCCAAAAUAAUACCCUGAUAAAAAUUACUUUUUACUAGCUAAAAUUUACCAUUUUUACCGUCGUCACAUUUUUGUCCUACGAAUAAUUCUCCGCAAAUAACCGUCCCUCAAACCCUUCUUAGAGACCAAUUAAAUUAUAACCUCAAUGACGGAGACGGUAAAAUUUUUAUUAUAACCAAGCUAGUAAAUAAGGUAAAAAUUUAAGGGUCGGGAUGUGACAAUGGCAGCAAAGUCCAAAGGCCUUACUUCUCCUGUUUUUUAUUCUUCAAUACCUUCUUUCCUUCAGUCUGCGCUUGCAGCUGAAAUAGUCCAAGUGUAGUCACUUCCAGUAUUCAAUAAAAUCUGACCUUUUGAUCAAAAAAAAAAUUACCGUAAAAUCAAUAAAAAAAAAAAUAAAGUAAUUUCAAAAUAUAAAAAAGAAAAAAAUUAGUGGAACAGUUUUUGCCGAGUGCCGAGUGCAUUGACAGUUCUUUAUAAUCAAAAUCUGGACAAAAGUAAAACUUCAUUUUUUUUUUAUAAACAAAAGGAUAAAAACAAAUGAAAAAUUUUAAAUACACACCCCUAAUCUCUUAAUACACACCCAUUGCUUAAUACACCCAUCAUCUAGUUUUUCAUUUCGAUAUUAAACUUAAUACACAUCCCAAACUGCCUAUAAUACUCUUAUAUCUAAAACUAAGAAAUAAUAUGUUAUUUAGUAUAAUUAUUAUAAAUUUACUAUAUAUUUUGGUAACUCUUUUACAUAUUUUUUUUAUAUUUUCUGCUAGAAUUAUAAAUUUUUUCUUUUCAUCGUCAAAUUUAUAAUUAAAAGACUAUUAUUACACAAACUCAAAUCUCCGAUUAUGACAUCAAUCAUUUGGAAUUCGAAAAAAUAUCAACCAUUUCAAGUUUUUGAAAUUCACAAGCUAGUAAAAGUACAUUAGGUGUUUAAUUGACAACUUUGAGGUCACGGGUUCAAACCUCAUUGACAUAUGUAGGGUGUGUGAGUUAUUAAUAAUUUUUUUUUUUUAAAAAGUACAUUAGGUCACUAGCUAUUAAACAUAUAUACCUACUUUUUUCAAUACCGCAUGUCAAGACGAACAUGUAGUACUUCAAAAUGGUCUGCAAGAUCAUAACUAAAACUGAUACAAAAAAGAAAAAAGAAAAAAAGAGACAAAACCCAAAUGAACCGAUGUUAAUUAAACAAUACAUGUGAUUAUAAGGAAGCAGUCGAAAUUCGGGUCAUGAAUUCUAAAAGUAUUUUUUUUUUUUGGGUAUGAAACUGUAAAUUGUGGAGAAGAGUCAAGUUUAGGGAAGAAGUAAUCGUUUAGAUGGUUUUAGGGUAGGAGAUUAGAUUUAUAAUUGUGAUUUCUUUUUCUUUUUUAAUAAUACAUGCCUAAAAUAUUUGAUGUGAAACAUAAAUUAAUAUGAGUGUAUAUUAAGAGAUUAGGGGUGUGUAUUUACACUACCAGGACAAUCACUUUAGCCGACGAAAAAUUUUUGUCGGCCUGUUAGCUUAAUUCAUCGGCUAAGAUCUUAGCCGACGAGCCAUCGUCGGCUAAGAUUUCGUCGGGAAAAGGUCGUCUGUGAUGACUUUCGCCGACGAAAAAAAAAAUUUCGUCGGCUAUAGUCCCGCAGUUUAGCCGACGAAAAACAUGUCGUCGGUUCUUUUCCCAGACUUUAUCCGACGAAACAAUUAAGAUAUUCGUCUGCUAAAGUCUGUAAUAAAAAAAAAUUUCCCAGACUAUAACCGACGAAAUAUAGUAUGUUUCGUCGGCUAAACCUUAUAAAAAUAAUUUAAAAAAUAACUCUAGCCGACAAAAUAUAGUCUGUUUCAUCGGCUAAACCUUAUAAAAAAUUUUAAAAAAUAACUAUAGCCGACGAAAUAUAGUCUGUUUCGUCGGCUAAACCUUAUAAAAAAAAUUUAAAAAAUAACUAUACCCGACGAAAUAUGCCAUAAUUCGUCGGCUAAACCUUAUAAAAAAAUUUAAAAAUACUAUAGCCGACGAAUAAACCUUUAAAUAUCGUCGGCUAAACCUUUAAAUAUCGUCGGCUAAAGUUGCUGGUUUUUGAAAAAAAAAACUGCAGAAACUUUCGGCCACCUCCAAUCACCACCAAAAUUUGACAGAAUCUUCCUCUCAACAUUUCGAACAACUUUCUAGAAGAAGUCGAAGCCCAAUUCUAAGCCUAAACAGGUCAAUUGAAUCAAAAUAUAAAAAUCCCCAAUUUUAAACCCUAAAAACUUCAAAUCUUCGAUUCUCCUCACACACACCGAAUCGAGCUACCAAAUUCUAGGAGAAUGUAGUACUAAUCAAAGUCAACUUAUCCAUAUAUAGAACUCACCAAAUGGUGACCUGAGGAAGGAGAAAUUCGAUCGACACCGAAUCCGAACCGACGGAGUUUUGGAGCUCGAUUUAUCUCUCACGGCGGCGCCACUCGAUGUACCACCUGUCCAGCAAUGAAGUAGAGACGACGGCGAUAGUUUUGGGACAAGUGUGGCGGUCUCCGGUGGCUUCACGGCGGAGCUAGGCCGAGAAGAAAAUCUGGCAGGCGAAAUAGAUUUCUUACCAUCCACCUUCGGUAAUAUAUAGAACUUUAGCCGACGAAAUUCUUUAUUUUCGUCGGCUAAACUCUUUUGAAAAUUUUGAAAAUUUUAGUUGACCGCCAAAAAAUUUUGGUUGAAAAUUUUGAAAAUUUUUCGACUUUAGCCGACGACUUUUCAUAUAUUUUCGUCGGCUAAAGUCCUUUGAAAAUUUUCCUCCAAAUUUGGUUUACCGCCCAAAAAUUUUUGUCCUUCGCCGACGACUUUUUUAAUAUCUCGUCGGCUAAAAUCUAUAAACUCACGAAAACGCUUAUAUCUCCCUCUAUAUUACGUAGUUUGGUCAAACCUUCCACACGAAAAACUUUCACGUAGAUGAGACGCAACCGCCUAUAUAAAAAUUUUGAGACAUUUACCUUCCGACGAUAGGGCUUCCCAUAGUGAAUAAUAACGGUAAAUAGGGUUGACCACUACUAUCGGCACCGAGACUUUACCCGAUUUACGUGAUUUUUGAACCAUAGCCGUAUUUCACCAUUCUGAACACAUCUUAUUUCAGGAGAUUUUUGAUAAUUUUGCUUCCUAUGUAGAGUUGGUUCACAAAAUUGUAUAACCUACUAAACAAGUUAUACAACAUUAGUAGACACGUUGUGAUUCCGAUGACUAAAAUUCACAAACCAAAAUUCGACCGUCCGAUAUGAUCAUUAUGACGAAAGAUGUCUAUGGUAAAAAAUUCAACUGGAUCCGACAACGUUAAGGACUCGAUCGAAACGGUUAACCCUAAUCCAUCGUCACUUAUCACACGAAAACGCUCAUAUCUCCCUCUAUAUUACGUGGUUUGGACAAACCUUCCACACAAAAAACUCUCACGUAGAUGAGACACAACUGCCCAUAUACAAAUUUUGAGACAUUUACCUUCCGACGAUAGGGCUCCCCAUAGGGAAUAAUAACGGUAAAUAGUAGACACGUUGUGAUUCCGAUGACUAAAAUUUACAAACCAAAAUUCGACCGUCCGAUAUGAUCAUUAUGAAGAAAGAUGUCUAUGGUAAAAAAUUCAACUGGAUCCGACAAGGUUAAGGACUCGAUCGAAACGGUUAACCCUAAUCCAUCGUCACUUAUCACACGAAAACGCUCAUAUCUCCCUCUAUAUUACGUGGUUUGGACAAACCUUCCACACAAAAAACUCUCACGUAGAUGAGACACAACUGCCCAUAUACAAAUUUUGAGACAUUUACCUUCCGACGAUAGGGCUCCCCAUAGGGAAUAAUAACGGUAAAUAGUAGACACGUUGUGAUUCCGAUGACUAAAAUUUACAAACCAAAAUUCGACCGUCCGAUAUGAUCAUUAUGAAGAAAGAUGUCUAUGGUAAAAAAUUCAACUAGAUUCGACAACGUUAAGGGCUCGAUCGAAACAGUCAACUCUAAUCGGAAAUAAGAAAACUGCAUUUUGAAGCCCUAAACGGACUCGGAUGGCCAAAAAGGCCCAUACAUCAUAGCAUUAGCAAUGAGUUUGACUCGUAGGGCCGUUACGCUUCCGGAAAGGUAUCACAAUAGUCAAUCGGACACCAAAAACCAAAUCUGUAACAUAGUGAAUAAUAAGGGUAAAUUGCAUUGACCGCAACUAUCGGCACCGAGACUUUACCGGAAUACCGUGAUUUUUCAACCGUGGACGUAUUUCACCAUUCUGGUCAUAUCUUAUUUCACAACUAUUUUGCGUUUGAAGGUUCUACGUACAGUUUUUUUUUUCCCAGAUGAGUUGUUGUCUAGAUCUGCAAAUAUAAAGCACUUUAGCCGACGAAAUUAUAUUUUUCGUCGGCUAAACUUUUAAAAAUUUCGUCAGCUAAAGUUCACAGACUAUAGCCGACGAAAAAAAUUAUUCAGACGACGAAAUUUUAAUUUCGUCGGCUAAAGUUGACCAUAGCCGACGAAAAUUUUUAAUUAGCUGAAGAAGGGAAAUUUCGUCGGCUAAAGUCCACUUUAGCCGACCAAAAAAUAAUUCGUCGGCCUGGUUUUUUUAUUUUCAUCGGCUAAAGUCUUUCUUCUGGUAGUGUUAAAAUUACUCAAAACAAAUUGACACAAACGUUAGCGUGUCUUAUGAGGCUAGUAUUUUAUAACCAUUCCCAAUAUGAUAGUGUUAAAACUGCAAAACCACGUACUCUAGGAUUUCAAAAAAAUUAUUCUAUCUUUGUCCUACUAGGGGACGUUGUUGUUGGACGGGAUUCUAGGGCGGGCAAAUGGUAGCUAAGCCCUACAGCAGGUUGGCGGUGGAAUGAGAGAGAGAGAGAGGUUGUUCAUCGGUGCAGACUGAGAUGCUGUGGGAAGAUUUGUAUUGCAAAUUUGCAAUGCGGUGUUAUUCCGGUGGGGGGGAGGAUGUUGGCGCCGGGUAAGAGCGAUCAUUCUGACCUAUUCAAAAGGGCGAUGACAUGGAGCGGUAAAGUGAUGAGAUGGAGAAAGCGAGGCGGCGACUUGGCUAGUUUGUGGUUUUGAUUCGAGUCUCUUUGCUCCGAUUUGUUUGUUGUUGUUGAAGGGUGGUGUACUGUCUCUAUAAUUUGAGAUGGGUCAAGGAUGGUGGUUCUUCCUUGGUGGUGACCGACGUUGGCGAUAGACGUUGGCGGUGGACGACGUAUCUGCAUUCAGGUUUUUCAACCUCUUGGGCCGGAUCUAGGGUGGCCUUUUCCUUGAGCUCCAAAAGGCUUUGGCUGGGCCUGGGUUCCCCUUGGGCCUAAGUUUUGUUGGGUCUAUUUUGUUUUAGUUUUUCACUUUUUACGUCGGUUAGUUCUUGUUGAUCAAUGUAAUGGGGAAGUUAUUUGUACAUAUAUGCUGGUAAUUUUGGUAUAUAUAUAGUGUUUGAAAUGGUUGAUUCUUCUUGAGGGUAACUAUAAGGAUGUUAUCGAGACUUCUGGAUUAAAUUAAAUUACAGUUGAACCUUUUCGGUUCUUAUCCACUGUAAUUCAUUACCAGGACCAAUGUUCUAAAAGGCGCUAGGCGCUAGGCGGGCGGUAACCCACAGCCUAGAGCCUGGACAGCCUAGGCGAGGAUUAGGCGGGGACUAGGCGAUUUGUAUUUUUUAAGAUUUAUUAAUUAAAAAUAUAUAUUUUAUGCAAUUUAAUAUUUGAAAACGGUCAAAUAUAGAUAAAUUAUUCAACAUAAUCUAGUCAUACUCAUUUAUAAAAUAAAUUAUAACUAAAAUUUAGCAUAACUUCCUGUAAAAAUGAGCAACAACAGCAAUAAACAUAUACACUUCUAAUUUUAAACACACAAUUAACUCUUAUACUCUCAUACUCCCCACAAUAUAACAAUCCCACACAAAAAGAAAACAAAAAUAGCCGUAGAGCUUAGCAGCCUAGGCGGGCAAGGCGGCAUCUAGGCGGGCUAGGCGGCAUUUAGGCGAGCUAGGCGGCCGCCUAAUCGCCCACAGCCUGGCACAAAGGCCUGGAAGAAAAGCGAGACGGCUUGUUACAGCCUAGAGCCUAGGCGGGGACUAGGCGGUCCUAGGCGGGGCCUUUUAGAAGCUUGACCAGGACAAGCACUUUAGCCGACGAAAAAUUUUCGUCGGCCCGUUAUCCUAAUUCGUCGGCUAAAGUCUUAGCCGACGAGCCUUCGUCGGCUAUAGUGUCGUCGGGAAAAGGUCGUCGGCGAUGGCUUUAGCCGACGAACCUUGAGACCGUCGUCGGCUAUUAUCCAAACUUUAGCCGACGAACUAUUUUGUCAUCGGCUUUUGUUCAUGCAUUUAAGCCGACGAAAAUACUUCGUCGGCUAUUGUUCCAGACUUUAGCUGACGACAUCCUAUUUCGUUGGCUAUACUCCCAGACUUAAGCCAACGUAACAAAAAUAUUCGUCGGCUUUACUCCCAGACUUUAACCGACAGAACAGAGAUAUUCGUCGGCUAAAGUAUGGUUUAGCCGACGAAACAUGCCAUAAUUCGCGGGCUAAACCCUAUGGAAAAAAAAUUAAGAAUGCUAUAGCCGACGAAUUGUGGCAUGUUUCGUCAGCUAUAACUCCAUUCCAGUAAAAAAAAUACGUGAAAUUUCUAAAUUAUCAUUCCAAGCAAGCUGCAAAAAACACUAAAACAAUUCUAUAUAUAUAACCAACAAGAAGCACAUAAAACUAUAUAAGGUACCAACUACACAAAAUCUAGAUAGUUUAAAUCAAUAUCCGAUUCUGGGGCCUGCUGGUGAGGAGAUUGCGGCGGCAGAGGUAACUGUAUAGGCGCAGGCAUGGGCGGAGGUGGAAGUCUCUGAAGCUGGGCAGCUGUAAAAUCCUGGAAGUACUGGAACAUCUGCUGAUGCUGGGCCUGCUGGGCGGCAUGUAGGGCUCUAGCAUAGGCUCUAUAUUCGAUGAUCUGGGCGGCAUGAGCGGCAACCUGAGCAGUCGAGGCUCUCAACUUCCGACUCUAGUUGAGUCGUCGUGCUGCUAGUCGAGGCUGCCUUUCGUUGAAAUCCUGGAGUGGUCUUCAGGACCCCCUGGCCCUUCUUUCCUAGACCCCGGCAGUAGAAGUUGUUUUCUCGCAGUGGGAAGGCUGUGCCCAUGAUACUCGCCCCAACCCUCGGAUCUGAAGUGUCGAUCCGGGAUAUGGCUUCGGACAUCUCUUCCUCCUGCGUGUCCGGCCAUGUCUCCCUCACUAUAGCACUCAUCACCUCGUCACUAGCCUCCUUCACCUUUGCCUAAUUGGAUAGAAAAAAAAUUAUUAAUUAACAUUUUGACAUAUAUAAGUAAAAUUAAAAAUUCCGUAAAAAGGAAAAAUUACUUACUAUAUCCUCCUGGGAGUCAGGAUAUGUCUUCUCGUACGUAUAGACGUACUGGUUGACCUCUGGAUGUUCCCUGGCCGCCUCGUCCAUGAAGACAGCGAACGGUCUAGAACCGGCAUGAUGGUUCCUUGUGUUGCGUUGCCGGUUGACACGACCCACCCCAAAUUUCACCCUGAAACCCAGAGUAAGUCGUGCGGGGACCACCUCCAAGGAAAAUUUACCGAAAAAUCGGCAUAACCUCCCUUGAAAAUGGACAACCCUUCCUAUUAACACCUGCAAACACUUCUGAAAAUUUAAAUCCAACCUUAAACUCCUGGAACCUUCGUGCUCCCCAUAUCACAACAUCUCCCAAUUUAAUUACCAAUUUAAACAAGAUAAUCUCAUAGCCAACAGCCACAGUUCAGAGCAACUCUAUUUGAAAGGAAAUAAACUAGAAAUAUAAAAAUGAGCGGAAGCUACACUAUUGACUAUGCCUCUUCUCCAAAUACGUCCGACCACAACUAUGCAAUCCUGCAAACUGGGCAUUUUUAAAACGAAGAGCCCAGGGGAAAACAUUUGAAAACGAAACGUUAGAGUGAGUGGACAAAAAUAAAUUUACGAAUAAAAUAUUUGUUUCCCCAAAACAAUUUCCAAAGAAANNNNN
rnacentral:lncRNA from 1 species